rnacentral:lncRNA from 1 species
UACCUGUGCCCAACUGAAGCAAUUGACCAGAGAAUGCAAUGGCAAAAACAGGGCUCUUGAUGAAGUGCGAUUUGAACCAUGUGCAUCUAAAAGCCGUAGACGUGAUGGAAGCUCUGGAAUUUGUUCAAGAUUGUUGCAGUGACUAAGGUUAAGGACUUCCAGCCUGGAAAGCUGAUUGAUGGUAGUAGGUAUGCUACUAAAAUGACCCUGUUCCAGAUUUAGUUUCUGUAAUGAUGAUAAAUGGCAAAUAUCACUAGGAAUUCCUCCUUCCAUUAUGUUGCAGUGACCUAGGUCCAAUUCUUUCAAUGAUGAUAAAUGGCAAAUAUGAUUAGGGAUUUGGUGGAGCUUUAAACACUCUUGAAGUAGGAGAGUUUGAAGACCAUUUAGAUGUGUAAUUGAUGAUGGUAAGUCCAUUAUAGCUGUUCCACUCAAAUCAAGCACCCUUAGCUCUCUCAUAUCGCCUUUGAUUUCUGGAAAUCUCUCUAGCUUUGAACAGCCAUUGCAAGACAAAGUUUGAAGGUGUUUCCACUUGUAAAUGCCUCUUGGAAGAAGCUCCAGGUUUACACACCCUGCCAGAUUCAAGGGAAAAAGAAAAACCAAGUUAGUUUUAGUAAUUAUAAUACUGCUGCACCAAACUUUUAAGUACCGUUGUACAACCUUCUAGAGUUAGAAUCUCCAAGUUUGGCACACUUGAGAAGUCUGGGAUUCUUAUGAGAUGGACAGAGUGACUGAGAUCAAUAACCCUCAACUUGUCAUGAAGCUGUAACAAAAUAAUUUUUUUCAAUAGAUAAAUUUACACGUUAAAAAUUAAUAUAAAAUUAAACUGUAACUAAAUAAUAAUAACAAUACCUUAUUGCCCCUCCAAACUUGCUUUAUAUUGCUGUCCCUUAAUGAGAGUUCAACAAGGUUCUUUGCAUGAAAAUUCAUUGGCAAAGAUUCUAAAGGGUAUCCAUCCCAAUGCAGAUAUGCUAACUCAUAGGAAUAGAAUUCAAAGUCCCUUGGAAGGUGGUCUUUAAGAAAUAGCUUUCUACGAGGGUUAUGGAUUUUGAGCAGUCUAAGUCUAUUCAUCUCUUUGAAAGAUUCUGUAGUAAGCUCUGAUGGAUUAAAUUUACAUCUAUCUAAGAAUAGUCCUUCAAUUGCUCGUGUCCCCUGAAAAAUAUAAGAUGAGUAGGUGAAACAAAAGAUGCAUUAGGCUUAAUUGAGUUAUACACACGGCUAAUUUCUGAAAAAAAUAAUAAUAGUAAUGAAGCUUGCAUACACACGUAUAAACAAGUUCAUGCAUUUGACUCUUACCUUAUUUCCUGUUAGCACAUGAUAGGCAUUAGAAUCGCAUAAUCUACUCCUUCUUCCAGGGUCUUCCGGACAUUCUUGACGAAUAAUCUCCCAACCCAUUUGUUGUAUUAAAUCAUGCAUAUCUAGCAUGUUUUUUGAAACAGUUAUGAGACAUCUAUCAUCUAGAGUUGUUAUUGCGUGCUUUGCAUGAGGGCCCAAUAUUCUUGAAACAAAAUCUCUAUCAUCUCCUUUGAAAAAGCAUGCAACAUCCAAAAAUAUCCCCUUGUCUAUAUCAUCGAGUCCAUCAAAACUUAUUCUAAGUACAUUGUGAAUUUCCAUGUGGGGCAUUAUUUUUAGCUUACACAGUGCACUUUCCCAAUUACUUAUUUUCUUUCCAAAAAGAGAAGCACCUAAAACUUUAAGUGCUAACGGAAGGCCAUUAGCAUAAUCUAUGAUAUUGUAUGAGAGAUUUUUAUAAACUUCUUGGGGACGAUUUUGUUUAAAGGCCCACAAACUAAAGAGCUCAAUAGCUUCUUCCUUGUUUAAUUUUGAAACCUCAUAUCGUAUAUCCGCUCCAUAUUGAGCAAGUACAUGUUUGUCUCUAGAUGUAAUGAUGAUUGUACUUUUUGCCCGAAACCAAUCCUUCUCUUCAGCCAAAUAUUCUAGUUGUUUCAACUCAUCCACAUCAUCAAAAAUAACAAGAACUCUAUUGGAGCUUAGACACCUCUUUAUCAUACUAAUUCCUUCAUCAACAUUGUUUAUUUUAAAAUUUUUUCCCCUUAGGAUACCAUGAAGAAGUUCUUGCUGUAACUGAAGUAUAUCACCUUUGGAUCUCUCUUUGAUAUUUAUAAGAAAGCUACUACCAUCAUAUUGAUGUGAGAUCUCAUUAUAAAUAGCCUUGGCGAUAGUAGUCUUGCCAACCCCACCAAUUCCAUAUAUCCCUACGACACUAACCAUAUUUAACUCAGUGUUCAUCAACGAUUUCAAUUUUUCCAAAUGAACACCAAUUCCAACUAUGUUCUUUCCCACACUUAAAGGUUGAUGGUUUAAUCUUCUAAUGAUUGUAUCAACAAUUUCCUUGACAACCUCGGUCUCAUACCUGCCAAUCAUAUAAAUUAAGUACAAUGAUGAGUUAGAAUGAGUUGCAAAAUAUAAUAAAUUUAAAAUAAAUUUAGUCUUGUAUGGCCGUGUCCAAUAUUACUGAAUUAGUAGCAAUGGAAUGAAAAAGAAAGGGGUGAAGCCAAUUUACUUACAUAUUUAAGCUUUAAAAUUUGUAAGUAUCAAACUACUAAAAAUGUGCCAAGUUGCAAAAUUUCAAUACUCUUACUGUUAGAGCAUUGUGUAGGACUCCUCUAUGAACAAGCUAAUGCCUUCUUUCAACUUUGAUUUCACAAACAACUUGCUUAUGAUUCCUCAAUUUCACUUGUCUUUAGGUUUUAUUAACUUACCAAUACUUACCAAUGUUGCAAAGACUCUGUUUUUAGCCUGCCAAUUAAUUUUGCAUUUCCAUAGAGGAAUCAGGAAACAAGUGAAUGUGGAGAAUUUCAUGAUUUGCUUGUUGGUUGGGAACUUAAAUAUGAUUUGCUUUAGAGAAAAUUAUAAAAGGGUUAAAUUUUGAUACUUGUAUUUUUGGACCAACACAAGGGAAAAAUGAAAGUCAGAUUUUGUUGACAAUUUCAUACUUACUGGUCAUUCACAUGGCAUCCAGAUAGAUUAGCUGCUUUUCUCAAGGCAAUCCUCCACUUUUGUAUCAUCUCCUUCUUUUCUUGAUUUGCAUCUCUUUCAUGGUAGGCAAGUGCGUCUCCGAAACUCCCCCUUUGGUUUCGUACAUCAGAUGGAUCCACAUGGUAGAAAAUUGGUAGAACCACUGAUUCCUUUUGGCUCUUGCGUUCAAUGAUCUUUACGAGUUCAUUUAAACACCAUCUGGAGUAAGCAUAAUUUUUUGAGAAAAUAAUAAUAAAAAACCUCGAUUCUUCUAUAGCUCUCAAGAGAUCAGAUGCAAUAUCUCCUCCUUUCUCAAGUUCUUCAUCAUCUCUGAAAGUUUGAAUUCCAGAUGCAGUCAAUGUGGUAUAUAGAUGAUCAGUGAAAUUUCUGCGAGUAUCGCCACCUCUAAAACUCAAGAACACAUCAUAAUUACGAGAAAUAGAAGUAGUCGAAGAAGAGGCUCUAUGGGUGCUGGAAGAAGCCAUUUUUGGAUGGCUUGAACCAAAAUUACAAGGGAGUUUGGAGGGUCCUUGGAUGCUCAAUGACUAUUGGCUCCAGACCUCUUCACCAUGAACAAAAAUCCAAGCUGGGAGGGAGGUUCAGCUGAAAAGCUUCAUCUGCAGUCGUAAAAGAAAAGAAAAACGUAUAUAAAGCCCUCUUUGAGAAAUUUCUUUGUAUAUAAAUUCUAAGAGAAACUCACACAUAUUUUACCUUUUGGUUGGGGAAGAUCCUUUCUCCAUUCCCUUUGUGUUGGAGACUGCAUUAAGGGAUGCAGAGAAGAUGGUGGGGAAGGUGUUGAAGAAGAGGCGGUGGGUAGCAGAGGUCUCGUUGACUGGGUGGAUGGAAUCGAGGUAAGGAAUUCUAAUAUUUUGAAAUGAAAUUUCAUGGAAGGUGUUGUUUUCAGUUUUUGUUUCCACAAAUAUUUGUGCGCGGCACCUAUGAUGAUGAGAAAUCCCUAAUUAAGACUAAGUAAUAUUGCUUUCCUUUUUAAUUAAUCAUUUAUACUUAAUUUUUUUCCGUCAACUUAAGUAUUUUGAUAAUAUUAUUUGUUAUAGAUAUUGAUGGGAAAAUUCUAUCAUCUUUCUAAGAGAUUUAUUAGAUUCUUGUUGGAAAUCCACGUCAAAGUAGGCUGCUAACUAAAAGUUAAUAGAGGUCUGUGACUUUCACAUUAAAAAAUAGUUGGAUUGAUGUAGAAAAGGCAAACCUUCCCCCCACACCCAAAUGUAAUAUUUCAUUAUUUUUUGUAAUUUUAUUUUUCUCUCUAGUUCCUAUAUUUGUACAACUUCCUCCUUUAGUUUAGUUCCUUUUCUUUGUAAUAUUUAUUUUGAUAUUUUUACAACUUAAAUUUAUGGAAUAUCUUUAUUUAAUAAUUUUUAUAAAAAAUAUUAAGUUUUUAUAGAUAUAUCAAUAUAUAGGUUUUACAUAUAUAUUGGGAUAUAUAAGGAAAUAUCGAUGAAAUGGAAAUUGAUCAAAAAUUAUAAAAAUAUUCAAUAUAAUUCAAUAAAAAUGAAUAUUAGAAAUAAUAAUAAACAUUUUGAUAUUGUUUUGUUAAAAAAAAAAAAAGAUCGAUAUAUGUAUGAUAUAAUUUAUAAUAUUCAAAAAUAAUAUUUAAAAUUAAAAAAAAAUUAUAUAAACAUAUCUAAUUUGGAUGUAUUUAAUGACAUAAAAAAUUAUGAUAAAAGUAUUAGUACUUUUAUUUUAAAAUAUUGACAAUUUUAUUUAUAAAUUUAUAUAUGGUUAUUUUAUAUUUAUUUAUUAUACCAAACAUAUGAUAAUUAAAAUUUAUUCAUUUAUAUAUAUAUACAAAAAAACAUAUAUUAAUUUAUGCAUAUGUAACAUAAUUUAUAAUAUAUAUAUAUAAAAGAGAAUCUUAAUAUAAUAUACAUAAAUAAACAUCGUAUAUGUAAGUCAUGCAUUGCAUUAUAAUAUUAACAAACUUAGGUCGGUGGCGUGCUGCGCUCACGCAAUGCCUGAGGUCAUGGGUUCUCAAACCCAUCCUUCCACUAACGAUUCUCUUUUUUAAUGUUAAGGGGUGGAAUCCCACAUCGACCAGCCAUAGCACUCAAAGUUUAAAUCUUUUUUUAACGGUAAGAGGUGGUAUCCCACAUCGGCCGGCCACAGCACUUAAAAAACCUGCUCAUAGACCCUUCUACCGACGUAGACGCAAUAUUUUCCAAAAAGGCUGAUGUCUCUCCGAGCCGAGAUAUCCACCUGCUGUAUCGUGUCGGAUGUUACGGACAGAAGAAAUAGUUCCAGCUACUUUCAUCUUGAUCAUAUCUUCAUAAUUGAUUAUUCAUUUUGAUGUUUUACUUCUAAUAUACCUGACAUUUUAGUUUGGUGUUUCGCUUAGGCUUUGAUUACGGAACUAUUUCUUAUAAUUAUUGGUAGGAAAUUUCCUAUGGUCUUCCAAGUAGGCUAUUUACAAAAGAUUGAAAAAUUGAAAAACCUCAAUGUCCUUUCACAUUUGAAGAUAGUGAAAUUCAUAUAAAAACAAUCAAUACUACAAAAAUUUGUAUGAAGAUAAUGCUAUUUAAAGAAGGUUAAUAGACCUUGAUGUCCUUUUAUAUUGAAAGAUAAUGAAAUUCUAUAUAAAAUAUUAAUAAUAAUAACCAACGCUACAAAAGUUUGUGUGAAGGCAGAGACCAUUUACAAAAGGUCAAUAGACCUCAAUGUGCUUUCACAUUGAAAGAUAAUGAAAUUCACAUAAAAAUAAUAAUAAUAGUAACUAAUGCUAUAAAAAUUUGUAUGAAGACAAACUAUUUACAAAAGCUCAAUAGACCUUAAUGUUCUUUUAUAUUGAGAGAUAGUGAAAUUUAGAUAAAAAUAUAUAUAGCCAAUGCUACAAAAGAUUGUAUAAAGGCAAACUAUUUAUAAAAGGUUAAUAGACUUUAAUGUCCUUUUAUAUUGAGAGAUAGUGAAAUUUAUGUAAAAAUAUAGUCAAUGCUACAAAAGUUUGUAUAAAGGCAAACUAUUUAUAAAAGGUUAAUGGACUUUAAUGUCCUUUUAUAUUGAAAGAUAGUGAAUUCAUAUAUACAUAUAUAUAAUAAUAAUAAUAACCAACACUACAAAAGUUUGUAUGACAGCAAACCAUUUACAAAACCUUAAUAGACCUCAAUGUCCUUUCACAUUGAAAGAUUGUGAAAUUCACAUUAAAAAAAAAAAAAAAAACCAAGCAUAUAUAUAUAUAUGGUAAUGUGAUAUUUCAUCUUAAUUCCUCUUUUAUUUUCAUCUCUUGGUAUUGAAUAAUAUAUUCUUCAUUUCUACAACUCUUUCUUUUUUCUUAACUUUUUUUUUUUUUUUGUACUCAGUAACAAUGGGUUCAUUUGACAUUCAUUCAAGAUCCUCCUUGUUUUGUUCUCAAAUGAUUCAAAAAAAAUGAUACCAUAUAAGGAAUUUCUUAAAUAGAUGCUUGUAAAAAUUAUAUAAAAUUUAUUAAAAAAAAAUUAAAAAUCAAAGAAAUAUCACUCCUUUUCUUUAAUUUUUAUCCUUUAAUCAUUGGUGCAAAAUGAUAAAAGUGCAAUUAUGCUUUAUUUGGUACUAAUAAGAAUUUCAAAAUCUCUUCACCUCAAGAUAUUGAAGUUUAGGUAAGAAAAUAGAUGGAUAAAAGUAUGACAUAAAACUUUUUUUCCCCAUUUGGAAGGUGUUUGUAGUUAAAGUAAAUAUAUAUAUAUAUAUAUAUAUAUAUAUAUAUAUAUAUAUAUAUAUAUAUAUAUAUAUAUAUAUAUCAAGUGGCAUAACAAAAAACAUAGGAUUUCCAAAAAGAACUUAAAAUGCAUUCAUCAUGCAUGUAGCUUGUCCACCGUAUUUCUUCAAAUAAUAUUAUUAUGGUUUGUUUGCAGUAUAUUUAUUAACAUAAAAUUUUAAUCAGAGAAAUGCCAAAAAAAAAAAAAAACUCAUUUUGAUCAUAUCUUCAUAAUUGAUUAUUCAUUUUGAUGUUUUACUUCUAAUAUACCUGACAUUUUAGUUUGGUGUUUCGCUUAGGCUUUGAUUAUGGAACUAUUUCUUAUAAUUAUUGGUAGGAAAUUUCCAAUGGUCUUCCAAAUAGGCUAUUUACAAAAGAUUGAAAAACCUCAAUGUCCUUUCACAUUUGAAGAGAGUGAAAUUCAUAUAAAAACAAUCAAUACUACAAAAAUUUGUAUGAAGAUAAUGUUAUUUACAAAAGGUUAAUAGACCUUGAUGUCCUUUUAUAUUGAAAGAUAGUGAAAUUCUAUAUAAAAUAUUAAUAAUAAUAACCAACGCUACAAAAAUUUGUAUGAAGGCAGAGACCAUUUACAAAAGGUCAAUAGACCUCAAUGUGCUUUCACAUUAAAAGAUAAUGAAAUACACAAAAAUAAUAAUAAUAAUAAAUAAUGCUAUAAAAAUUUGUAUGAAGACAAACUAUUUACAAAAGGUCAAUAGACCUCAAUGUCCUUUUAUAUUGAGAGAUAGUGAAAUUUAUAUAAAAAAAAACAACCAAUGCUACAAAAGUUUGUAUGAAGGCAAACUAUUUAUAAAAGGUUAAUAGACCUUAAUGUCCUUUUAUAUUAAAAGAUAGUGAAAUUCAUAUAUAUAUAAAACUAAUAAUAAUAACCAAUGCUACAAAAGUUUGUAUGAAGGAAAACCAUUUACAAAAGGUUAAUAGACCUCAAUGUCCUUUCACAUUGAAAGAUAGUGAAAUUCACAUCAAAAAAAGAAAAAGAAAAAACCAAGCAUAUAUAUAUAUAGUAAUGUGAUAUUUUAUCUUAAUUCCUCUUUUAUUUUCAUCUUUUGGUAUUGAAUAAUAUAUUCUUCAUUUCUACAACCCUUUCUUUUUUCUUAACUAUUAUUAUUAUUAUUAUUUUUUGUACUUAGUAACAAUGGGUUCAUUUGACAUUCAUUCAAGAUCCUCCUUGUUUGUUCUCAAAUGAUUCAAAAGAAUGAUAUCAUAUAAGGAAUUUCUUAAAUAGAUGCUUGUAAAAUUAAAAAAACAAAGAAAUAUCAUCUCCUUUUCUUUAAUUUUUAUCCUUCAAUCAUGGGUAAAAAAUGAUAAAAGUGCAAUUAUGCUUUAUUUGGUACUAAUAAGAAUAUCAAAAUUUCUUCACCUCAAGAUAUUGAAGUCUAGCUAAGAAAAUAGAUGGAUAAAAGUAUGACAUAAAACUUUUUUUUUCCCAUUUGGAAGGUGUUUAUAUAUAUCAAGUGGCAUAACAAAAACAUAGGAUUUCCAAAAAGAACUUAAAAUGCAUUCAUCAUGCAUGUAGAUUGUCUACUGUAUUUCUUCAAAUAAUAUUAUUAUGAAUUUGUUUGUACUAUAUUUAUUAACAUAAAAUUUUAAUAAGAGAAAUACCAAAAGAACUGAAAAAGAUGAAAGCAAAUGUAGAAAAAAAAUUAAAUUAAUUCAUAAGAUAAAACAUACUAAGCAAACAAUUUCUAGGGGAGAAAAUUUUGAAAUUUUUAGUAAAAUUAGAAGUAUAUAAUAACAACAUAUUAAAGACUAGUUGCAUAUUUAUUCUAUGAAAUCAUUUCAAUUCAUGACAAAAUGAUAGUCAAAUGAAAAGAAGUUUGAAUGAAAUUUUAAGAUUAUUGAUAUGUUAAUACAUUAAACUAAUCAAUAUUUUUCUAUAUCUUAGCAGCCAUCAAUGACCUGAAGUUAGUAGGACUUCCCUCUCUCUAUAAGACUUUUUUUUUUUUUUCUCUUUUUUGAAAGGAUUUCAUUCCAUUUGUCAAGGUAAGGAAUUGUUUUUCCCUAUCUUUGUUUUUCUCCCUUUGAAUGAUUCACUUAUAUGUUAAGGGUUAGUUUCUUUGAAAAUUUUUUCCUAAAGAAAGAUAUUAUUUUAAUUGGUAAAUAUACCUAUCACUUUGUUGAUGUUAUAGAAACUCUCUCCCUUUUCAAGAUUGUUUUGUUUCUACUACUAUUUGAAAAUAAAAAAUAAAAAAAAUAUUUUAAGUGGUAGAAAACCAACUAAUGGUUAGUUAAAAUAAAUAUUAUAAACCUCAAGAAAUGAGAGACAACAUCCAUAAAUCAACAAAGUUAAAAUCUUUAAUGUCUUUUUUAUGCUUGUGAAGUGUGCAUAGCUGUCCUUCAUUCUCAAUGAUUUUUUAUUUCUAGGAUGACUUUAAGGACUCCUUCCUUUGCAUUUGCUUCUCUCAUUUUAUAAGUCAAGGUCUUUGAUGACUAUUAUUUGCAUUUUGUUUGUUUGUUUGUUCGUUUUUGUUUGCUUUUCUCCUUUCAACGGUCAACAACCAAUCUUCUUACUUUUAGUGCCUUUCUCAUUUUAUAAAUCACGAUCUUUGAUGAUUAUCUUUUGCAUUUUGUCUUUUUGCUUUUCUCCUUUCAACAUUAAACAACCAAUCUUCUUGCUUUUAGUGCUUCUCUCAUUUUAUAAGUGAAGGUCUUCGAUAAUUAUCUUUUGUAUUUUGUUUUUUGCUUUUCUCCUUUCAACAUUCAAUAACCAAUCUUCUUGCUUUUAGUGAUUGUCUUGAACUUUGAUAACAAGUGCCUAAGGCCUUCUAAGAAAUUUGCUUGAAGGCACACUACCAUCCAAAGCUCAAUAAACCAAGGAAAAUUGUAUGAAACUAUUUCAUAUCAUUUCUUGAAAUUCAGAUCUUGGUAAGAAAUUGAUUUGAAGGUAGGCUACUACCAAAGUUUAAUAAACCAAGGAAAAUAGAAUUCUUUUCACACUAUUUCUCAUGUUUGGAUAAUAUGAAAAAAAAAUAAAACAUUAUUAUUUUUUUUAAUUUUGUUUUUCUUUUGUUUUUCUCCUUUUUGACACUAAUUAGUAGUCUCACAUACAUGGAAUGCUCCCUACUAGAUCAUAUAUCCACAUCAAAAGUUAGAUUCAUUAAUCAUAGAAAGAAAAUUAGUAGCCUCACAUAACACUUAAAACAUUGUGAAAAGGUGAAUCUCAAUGAUGGACUACACCUAGAGGGGGGAGGAGGGGGGUGAAUAGGUGUUGUAGAACAAUUUAAAAAUUCUCCCAACAAAGAUUACCUAACCUUAGACUAUCUCAAUGUUAAGAAACUUCUCUUCCAACAACUUUUCAACAAAGCAUAACAUCCACAAGCAAGAGUGAAUGCAUCAACACUCUCCCAAUAAUUUAUAAAUGCAAAACACAUGCAAAUGCUUCAACACUCAAAAAUAAAUCAAAAGAACAAUCAUCUCCUCAACUCAUAUCAAUUGACUCCAUGAUAUCAUUAAACAAAAUGAACAUACAAAAUAUUAAAGAUAUUCCAUGGAUCAUCACACUUAUAUCACCUCAUAUUUCUUCCAUUCAACAUGUAUGCCCAAGUAAUCAAUGAUAUCAAAAACAGAAAAUAAAUCAAAGUGUAGAGUGAGAGAAAUAGACAAUGAACACCGGAUUUUUAAUGUGAAAAACCUCUAAAGAGAUAAAAAAAAAACUACAGACCUAUCACCAAUUGAAAAACUCCAUUAUGAAGAAUAAAAACUGAGUGCAAGGUUUUACCUAGCUCAAGCCAACCAAUCCUUCCCAGACUACUUGACUAGUACCUUCACUUUCAGCUUCUCACCUUCUUCUUUCGGAGCACACUUGGAGUCCGCACCAAGCUCAAUCACGACCUCUUCUUGAAUCCACACAAGAAGAAAAUGGGUUUUUGCACAAACCCAAAUAGAAUAAGAGAUUGAGAUAUGAAUGAAGGAAUGAAUCAACCCAUUUAUUGCUCAAGAAAAUCCAUUAAAAACUAGUUUGGAAAACAUUAAGAGAAGUGGAUUUUCUUUGCAAUCAAAAACCCCAAAUUAGGAAAACAAGAUGAGAAAAUGAAGAACACAUGGAGUGGAUGCUCUCUUCACGUUUUCUGCAGUCCCUGCCUAAAAAAAUGAGAGAAGAUUGUUUUUUUAAAAUAUAAAAAGAAGCCCUUAAUCUAAUGGCUAAUAUUUGAUCUAAAAAAAAUUAGUUGGAUCGAUCCACCCUUGCACCUAGAUAGAUCCAGAAACAGGGGAAUAAAAGUCUUGCACCAAAAACCAUUUCUCCCAACUUUCUAACAUAUUUAAAUAUUAAAAACCGAGUUGACUCACAUUCAAUCACCACACACUCAGCUACAUACCUCGGCCUCUUAGCAAAGUCUUAGUCUUCAAAGUCAAGUAGUCCGAAAAGGAAUUGGAAAGCCGAGUUAGGGGACACUUAGGAAUUUUGUCCGGAAUUGCCAACCCUAAACACUCACACAUUCACAAGUCACUAUCUCUAUAAUAAAACAAAUAGAGUAAUUAGAGUAUUAUUUUUUAAAGCUUUAUCACACAGCUUUCUAUGUAACAAGAAAGGAAGUAUUUUGAAAACUUGGUACAAAGUCUCCAUCCUCAUAAUUCGAUUUGGAAGGGUUUAUUGAAUUAAACCCUCCCUAAAGCGUUUCACGUGUGCCCACAAUUUGUGACGAUCAGGAAGAUUUUCAUUGAUCACUGGAACCUACUUAAAAUUCUGAAUCCAUGCAUGCAAUCGAGGGAAUGUGGUGGAAACCAGCAGUUUUGUGCCAACCAAAUGCUAUGUCCACCAGUCCUAUAGCUUCCCCUCCAAAAAACUUCUUAUCCCCAAGGCCUUUCUCUUCUAUGAUUUUCAGUAUUUCCACUGUUUCUUUUAUGGCCUUCUCUUGCUCUUCCCCAGCAGCAGAUUUAAAGAGUUGAAAAAAAGUGGCACUCUAGAAGAAAUUAGCAACAUGUAUAUUUAGAAUUGAAUGCAUGGUUGAAAACAAGAGUACGGUGAUCUCAAAUAUGAAUAAAAAUUAUAGUUAUUAAAUUAAUUAAAAAUAGGGGGAAAAAAAAAAGAUUUAGAAAGUCUACAAGUUCUUUUCAUUUUAAUCAUAGGUAUUAAUGGGAGAUUUCAAUUUGAUUCCUCUUUCCUCUCCAAAUUCCUUAAUUCCAAACCUAGCUAGGGUGUGAUAGCCAAACAGAAUACAGCCAAGCUCCAGCUCUCCCAAACCAAACCAAACUGAUCAAGAACUCAGCUCCCAGUUAGUUACAACAACCCAAGGAAGUUAGAACAACUGUAUAGUAGAGUAGAUUCAACUGGUAUAAAAACCAUGAUGUUGCUAUUAUAUUCAAGAGAUGAAAUGAAAAACACGGUUUUCAGUUCAGUUUCUAUCAUGGUAUCAGAGCAGAACGAGCUCUUGAAAGAAGUCUUCUUGAAAAGAUAAGCUUCAGGCUGCACAAUACGCUCAUCUCUCAAAAAACAAAAAAAAGAUUUAAAAAGUCUACAAAUUCUUUUCAUUUUAAUCAUAUGUAUUAAUGGGAGAUUUCAAUUUUAAAAAGUAUCAUGGCUAAUUUUUGGAUCACUUCAAUAAAUUUUUACAGAUAGCUAAUUAGAAAUUCACUAAUGAAUACUUUCACAAAUGACUGAAACCAAGAAAUGGGCUAUGAAAGCUAGAUGGAGAGCUUUCAUAUAUUUCAGUCUUGCAAAAGAUUCGGAAAUUAAAUCAUAAGAAUUGAUAAUAAAAACAAGAUUAGUGAGUUAAACCUACAUUUGAUUCUCCAAAAUUGAUCCAAAACCGAGCCAUGGCUCUCUCAUAAGCAUCUGUCGGCAGCAGUACAUUCUCUGGCCAUGUUUCUUCGAAUUAUUCGAGGAUUACAAGGGACUCGGCUACUGCUUUGUCACCAUGAAGAAGCACCGGAAUCUUCUUGUGAACUGGAUUGUGGUAUAACUGCAACUGGCUCUUGUUACCAAGGUCUUCCUCUAUAUACUCAUAGUUUAUGCCCUUGAGUUUUAGAGUCCAAAUCACUCAGUAACCAAAAGGGCUUGCCCAAAACUCUAAUAGCUUCCCUCAUGCCAUUGUUUUAUAGUAUGCCAGCUCAAUUUGCAGGGCUAUUAGUUUCAAAUCUUUGAACUUGGAGGAAGAUAGGACCCUUCUCUUCAACUAAGGAUUUUCAGCCUGUGUAAGGAGGAUUAUUUUUCAUGGCAUGCCUAGUUUUAUGGACUUCUUUUUGAAAGGGAGAUAUGAGAAUUUUUUUGAAGAUGACAUCAAUUUUUUUAAAAGGAGAAAGGAAAACAUUUAAAAGGAAUAAAGAUAUGAAAUUUUUUGAAGAUGACACCAAUUCUUUUUUUAAGGAGAGGAGAUUUUUUUUUUUUUUUUUUUUUAAAGGAAUAGGAGAUAUGAAUUUUUAUUUUGGAAGAUGGCGUCAUUUUUUUUUAAGGAGAAUGAGAAUUUUUUGAAAUAGAAUAUGAGUUUUUUGGAAGAGGAUAUCAUAAUUCUUUUUUAGAGGAUAUUUAUUGUAUAUUGUUUCACGUUAAUAAAGUUUUGAUUUUUAUUGAGUGCUUACAAAAUUGUUAGGACUUAUUUUUCUGGUUAUUAUGUAGUAUCUCUGAUUUUGUAUAUUGUUUCAUGUUAUUUAAGCUUUGAGUUCUAUUGAAUGCUUGUACUAUUUAUCUAAUUUUAUUAAAAAUAAAAUUUUGAAAAAUUUUGGUUUAAGUUUUAAAUUUUUGGAUAUUAUUCAUGAAAUUAGAAUUUUAUUAAAAAUCAAAAUUUGAAAAGUUUUGUUUGAGUUUUAAUUUUCUGGAUAUUAUUAUUCAUUUCAUUAGAGUUUUAUUAAAAAUCAAAGUUUGAAAAGUUUUGGUUUAAUUUAAUUUUCUUGAUAUUAUUCAUGUAAUUAAAAUCUUAUUAAAAAUCAAAAUUUGAAAAGUUUAGCUUGAGUUUUAAUUUUUUGGUACUAUUUAUUUCAUUAAAAUUUUAUUAAAAGUCAAAUUUUGAAAAGUUUAGUUUGAAUUUGAAUUUUUUAGAUACUAUUCAUGUAAUAAAAUUUUUAUUAAAAAUCAAAAUUUGAAAAGUUUAGUUUGAGUUUUAAUUGUCUGGUAUUAUUCACUGCAUGGGGAGUCUUCAUGUAGUGGAUAGUAGGUCAAAGACCCAAGCUUUGUCUUGUUGUUAUUUAUAUAAGAUACUGGAGUGUUCUCUCUAAUAGAAUGUUAAAUCAAUUUCAAAAUUGGAUUAUAAGGGAGCCAAUACUCCUAUGAGCCUUAGUGUUCCUACUCUGAGCUCAUAUACCAUGAUGAUACGGUUUGAAGGGAGGGUUGGUUUGACUCUAGGUUUAUUCUUGUGCAUAAGAGUGUUUUGGUAAUUAUACUAGGUUGCAUAGGGGAUAGUGAACAAGGUCUUUGGUUUGAGCUAAUUGAUUAAUUAGAUGACCCUAAGUGAUUAAUUAAUCAAUUAGAACUCGUUUUGGGCUAGAUUAAGUGACCUAGGCCUUGAUGGGCUUAAGUCACUUAAGCCUAAUGGACAAUCCUAUAAAUACCCCUUUAUGGGUUAGGGUUUCAUAAUGACUUGUGGUGAGAGUUGUCUUCCAACCCUAGAGAGAAAGUUAUAGCCUCCUCUUUUUCAAAACCCACACUUUUGAGUAUUAAGAUUGUGGUUUAAGUCAUCGAGUAGAAGAUCUUGGGUGUACAAGACCUCCUUGGAUGAAGGCUUACAACACUUGGACGUGCAUAGGUCGCGUGCAUGGGAUGCACAUAGGCGUGUGCAUGAGAAGUGCAUGAGAAGUGCAUGAGACAUGCACAGGCCUUGUGCAUAGGAAUCGCAUGGGAUGCGCACGUGGGCAACAACAUGAGGAACAUCCAUACAUGUUCUUCACAGUAAGGAAUUUAUUUGGGAACAUCCAGAUCCGAGGAUGAACACUUUUUAUCUAUAUCUUUAUUCUAAUAUGGUUUUUAUAGCCAUAUGUUUUCACUAUAAUAGAUUUAGAGAAGCUUAGAAUAGUUUACAUUCACCCUAUGAUAUCUAGGGCAUGAGAACAGAGUAAUCUAGGGUUCCCAACACUAGUAACUCUAUUUUAAGAGUGUUGAUUUAUCACAUGGCCCAUAAAAGUGAAUACAUGGACAUUUAUUUUUAAUAUGAAUGAAUGGAUGCAUGUUGAUUUUUUUAUUCUUUUUUCUCUUUCGAUUAGGUUGUAAACUUCAUAAGGAGUAUAGAAUUUUAAAUUUCUCCGUAAAAUAUUUUUCUUUUAAUGGAUGAGUUGUAAGCUCCAUUUUGAGAGCAUAAGGGUUUGUAUUCUUUGUAAAAGAAUUUAACUUUGGUCUAUCUAUGGUGACCUAAAAAAGGGAAUUAGAGCCCCUGAUUCAUUCAGGGGCAUUCAGAUAGAAAAAGUGAGUUUUUUUGAGAAAAAAAAUUGAAAAAAAAAAUGGAGAAUCAAGCUCUCAACAUAGUAGUCCAAGUGGUAACGCUCAAAUGUUACAAAUCACAACUUAAGCGUUUGAGUGCUCCUUUAGGUGUUUUGAGUACUCUUAUUAUGAUAGCUAUAAUUUCUCCAACAUGAGUUUUUUUUUCUUUUUUUUUUAAGGUUUUUCUAUAAUUUUAGAUUUUUUUUUUCCCAAUGUUUUUAGAAUUGGACUGGUCAUUGAAUAAAAAAGAUGACCAGUGGUCGAAGAACUAUCGAACCGAUGACGUCAUAAAUAUAUAAUUUAUAUAUUAAUAAAUAAUAAAUAAAAAAAUAAUAUAUAUAUAUAUAUAUAUAUAUAUAUAUAUAUAUAUAUAUAUAUAUAUAUAUAUAUAAAUUAAUAAUCAAUAAUAUUAAUUAUAUCUUUGAUAAAAGAUAAAAACAAUUAAUAUUUUGAAUUUUAUUAAAUGAAAUAUGUAUAACAUUUAAAUGUGAAAAUAUUCAAAAUGAAAGGAAAUCUGAUUAUCGGAUUUUAACUAAUUUUAUAAUUUUAGAAAAUAUUAUAUUAUUUUUAUUUAAUAUUAUAAAUCAUUUUAGAAACAAAUAUAUUUUUUCAUUCGCCAUUUUAAUCAACAAGAUGCAUGCAGCCAAGUGGUGGUGUACAUCUUUUGUUCAGCAUACAUCGAAUGUGGAUAAGUAAAAAAAGGCCCUUAUAUACCCAAAACUUACCCAAGUCACAUAUGCAGCACAGGAAACCAAGGUGUAGCCUAUCCAACAGUGUUUGAAUUGGGCUUUUAUUUGGGCCUCAUGGAAUUAAAAAAGAGGGGAAGUUUGGGUUUUAGAUUGGGUCCAUUUUAAUGAAAGAACAGUUGGGAUUGAACCGUUCGGUUCAUGUGAAACCGCCCAGUCCAGGUGGUUCAUCGGUUCAACCACCGAUUCGGACAGCUUGUUACCGAUUCAAUUAAAGGGAAGCAUUUGUACCACACCAGUUCGGGAAAUAACUAUAUGUUAAAUCCCCAAUGCAAGGAAAAGAUCCAAGUGACCAGAAUCUCCCUUUUUGUAUAAGGAACUUGAGCCUAGUUGUCUCAGCUGAUUCAUGUCCUCUCAAUUGUCCCUAACAGUGGUGCCAUUUGAUACGUGUCCAGCUGGUGUCCCUUGAUUGUGGUCCUCAUGGAGUAAUCAACAAAAUUUAUAACCUAUUACACCAUGUACUAGGAUAGCCUUAGCUAGCAUAGCAUAGUGGCUCUAGGGUCAUUCACUGGGAUGGGUUUUCACUUCACAAUUGAUAUUAAUUCCAAGUUGAAUUGGUGCGUUUUCAUUUCAAGGUUAGCUUUAAAAGAAAACAUAAUCUUUGGUGGAAAAAGGCCUAACAGUUUAACAAGGUGGACUGGACUAGAAAGUCCACCGGUCCAACCGAUUGGAGUGCCAAAUCGGUUCAGUUUUUAAAACAAGGUUUUUUUAUUUCUCUAACUUAAUUUUGGUUGCAUGGGUAUUUUGGUAAAUUUUUGAAUAAAUUGGAUUCUAAAUAUUUUUGCUACCAAAAUUUGUGACAAGAUGCCUAAGGGGGGAGGAAUUAUUUUAAUUUUCCUUUUUUUAUUCUUAAGCUUACAUAUAUAUAUGGCAUGUUGUGCAUGAAAAUUUGAUUUUUAGUAAUUUUGAUAGAAAUAAAUUUCUUUGAAAAUUAGAUUUCAAAAGGAUAUUUUUAUUAAAUUGGAAAAGUAGUGACUAAAGAAAGAACUUUUUAUCAAAAUAAAAUUUAAAUAAAGAGAGAAAAUUUUCAUUUUAUAAAAUUAUUUUGAAGGAUUUUAAAAUCCUUUUAUUUAAAAUUAUUUUAUAAGAUUCCUGAAAAAUAAAAGCUUUCUUUCUGGAUAAGAUACUCGCUAUAUUUUAAUUUUCCAUUUUUAGAAAUUUUCUUAUUUUGAGAAUUUUCAAUUAGAACAAUAAAUAAUUUUGGAAAAUUUCAAGAUAGGCAAUAAUAAGAUAUUACUAAAAAGUUUUGGAAACUUAGUAAUUUAAUGAGCAAUAAAUUUCUAGAAAAAUAUUAAUUUCAAGAUAAGAUAUUUAUUAAAUUGGAGUGGUGUAUGAGAAAGGAUAAUUUUAUAUAAAUUGAUUUUAAAAAUUGAGAGCAAUUUUUUUAUCAAAAUAAUUUAGGAUAAAAUGCUGUUACAAAAACUUUAUAAUUUUCAAAGUUACAUUCUCUUAUCUCCCUUGUGUUUCUAAUUACGAAAUUAAUAAUUUUAAAAUAUUUUAUAGAAGAUAAUUAUUUAUGAAGGGAAUUACCAAGAAAUUAAAAAGCUCUAAUUAACUCAAAAGAUAAAGUAGGCAAGGCCUUAGCAAAGCCCACAACCUUCAUUAUCAAGUCCACCUUGAUUUUGUGUCAUUGUCAUCCCAACAGUGAGUUGGCUAAGCAAUCAAAGGAUAUGAACUUUCCAAUUGGCGAGACUAGAUAUGUUAGUAGAACAACCGCCUCAACAAUGAAUUUUUUUUUUUACCAAUAUUAAUAUGAAAGAUAAUAAUCACACACUUAACUUAGAAGUAAAAUGGUUGAAUCAACCAAUGUGGUCCCACUUACAUAAUUAAAGGUUAAAUAAAAGGAUAUGUUGACCUUGCCUUAGAAUUUUAAGAUAGGAAGAUCAAUAUGAAAGGGUCUCUACCUAGUAAUAAGAUCAUGUCCAACCUAAGGUGGCAUUGAUACUUAUGAUUCUAUGAUAUCUAGAAAAAGCUAUGUAAUCAUAAGAGCUCUAUAUUUUGCUAAAUUUAUUAUCUUGCUUUAGGGUUAAUGCUUAGUAUUUAAUGCAUGUUGUUUAUUUUUGUUACAUUAAUCAUGUCCUUUAAUCCAAUUACUCCCAUUCUCACAACAAACAAAUUACUUAAACAUAAUUAUGUGAAUUAAAAGAGAUACUUUGAUAUAGUGCUUACAUCAAAGGAGCUUAAAUGGGUGUUUUAGGAAUUUACUUUUAUUGGAGUUGGGUUUAGGUGCCCAGAUGGGCUGACCCAACCCUGUCUAAUAAAUGAGAAAAUAUGGGAGGAGUUUCUAGGAGUUUUAAAACUACCCAAAAAAUGCCAUUAUUAAAAGAUUUAAAAAAAUGUUUUUUUCUCUUUUCUCUCUUUGUGAAAACUCUCUCGCUGAGAAUUCUCUCUCUCCAUGGAAAACCAAAGAGAGAAAGAGUAUGUUUUCUUUCUUCCUGAAAAUAAAGGCGAAGAAAUACGUUUUCUUUUUUCCCUAGAAAACAUAAGAAAGAAUAAUUUUUCUUCUAAAGAAACAAAAAGUUCUUUCUCUUAAAGUUAUUCUUGUUUUCUCCGUGAAAACGAAGGUUAAGGCUCUCGUGUUGUGAUAAAAGAAUGGUUAUCAUAUUUGUAGUUCCAUUCACGACUUGAGGCGAGAAAAUUAGUUAGUGAAACAACCAAUCUGGGUCUUGGGUAUUUCAGAAGGUAACUCAGAAUUUUCUACCUUUUAUUUAUUUUAUUUAUUUUUUUGUUUUGUUUUAGAGAAAGAAGAAUAUUUUUUUUUAAACAAAUGAACAAGGAAUAAACUUUUUUUUCUAGUUGUGGUUUUAGAAAAACUAAAAAAAUAAAUAAACAACAAAAUGGAUAAAUAUGAUUUUGGAUAUUGUUCCAAAUUAAUAAUAAUAAUAAUAAAAGCAAUGUUCCGGAAACAAAAAAUAAAUAAAUAAGGAAAAAAUAAGAACCACUUGGAGAAAAAAUAGGUGCAAAGUGCAUCCACUACAGCAACCUUGGACAAAUUGAAAUGGACAAUUAAAAGCCAAAAAAAAAAAAGACGAGCCACAAUUUUUUGGUUAUGGUUCCAGAAAAGCCUUUCUCCAAGACAAACAAAGGGGAACAUUUUUCUGGAAUUUUUUUUUUUUGAAAAAGUAAUAAUAAUGCUAAACAAGUUAAAUAUGUUUUAGUUUACUAAUUAACAUCAAAGUUGAAUUACUCUUGUUGGUUAGAACUCCUCUCAUGCUCACUUCAUACCCAACUUCGAGCUUUGAAGUCCUCAUCAUUCCUAUUUCAAGUUUUUUGAGUUGAAGUCAAAUUAUGUUGAUUUUUAGACUAUAAAAAAAUAAAAUAAAAAAUGAGGGUCUUAAAUAUGUUACCCAUUAGAAUAAAUAAAUAAAAAUGGAUGAGGGAUUGCGUAUGAAAAGGCUUGAUCCCUGACCAUAAGAGUAAGAGUCUUGCACUCUACCAACUAGGCUAGAUGUUUUUUGUUUUCAUAGAAAGACUAUGAUUAUAGAAAAUAACAUCUAGAGUUAUAAAAGACAUUGUGAAUAAUCCUAAUAUUGUUGUUCCUUUUAGCUUCAAGAGAAAAUAUUAGUUCUUUUUCUACAUGUUACUUUUUUAUGCUUUAUACAUGAAAUGUAUAUAUCUUAUAUGCAAGAUAUGAUAUGAAUAUUUAUUGUUUGAUAAAUGAGUAUGUCUUUUAUGUACAUGCAUGUCUUCAAUUAUUUUGUAUAUAUUAUUGAUACAUGCUAGUUGUAUAAUAUUUUUUAUGGAGUGAGAGGUUUUAGGCUAAAAAGAAAUUUAAGUAAUUUCUUGCCUAAAAUUAGAAAUACUUGAAUAGAUUAUUUCUAAUUUGUAUAUAGGAUUUUAUUGGGAACAUAGUGAACUUUCGUUUCUAUUGCAAUUUAAGGUUAUUACACAUUAAAAGAUGAUUAGAGCAGGUAAAAACAUCAAUAUCCAUAAAACUACCACUUAAUAAGAUUGUGCAAUAUCUCUAAGUAGUUCAAUAUGUCAACUACAACUAGGAACAUCAUAGUAGAAUUGAACAAGGAUGAGAAACUAAAUUACAAUAACUACAAGGUUUGGUAUUGCAAAGUUCAAUAUAUCCUUGUUAAGCAAGAGACUCUUGAUACACUAAAUCAUAUCAUGUAAGAACCUAAAUAAGGAAACUUUGCUCAACAUAGAAGAGAUCAAGAGGCUUAAAUGGCCUAGAAGAAAAAGAAUUUUUUAGCUCGCAUCACAUUAUUACACUAUAUGCAAGAUGAUCUCUUGAUUAAGUAUAAGGUUUACUAAACUGCUCAUGAAAUGUGGCAAGCUCUAAAGGAAAAGCAUGGUGGACUUUCAAUUAUUAAGCUGUGAGAACUUGUAAUGAAAUUUGAAAAUUACAAGAUGCGAUUGAACCAUACAAUGAAACAACAUCUCAGGGCGAUGAAGAGAAUGAUAAGAGAGCUUAAGGCAUCUGGGCAUGUCUUCACUGAUAAGCAACAAGUUGAGGUGGUCAUCAAAUCUCCACCAAAGAGUUGGGAACAUAUGGUGGUGAAUAUGACACAUAAUGAGAGUGUCAAGACUUUUGAUGAUAUAGUUCGUCAUUUCGAAUUGGAAACCAAGCAACUUAUGGUUGCUAGGCCUAAUAAACAAGCUCAUGUAACUGAAUCCAAUUCUCACAAACUUCCGGCUCUAAGUGUAAUAGAAAAUUCUUUAAGAAGAAUAAGAUAUCUAAUGAGGCUUCAAAGAAAGGAAAGAUUGAGACACACAAGAAGUUUAAGCGUACCAAGAAGGAUAAAAGCAAGUUGAAAUGUUAUAACUAUGGUAACAAAGGUCACUUUACUCGUGAAUGUACUAAGUCAAAGUAGACUCAGUCCCUAUUAAUCGAACAACUAGAGGCCAAAGAGCAUAUGUAGAGUUUAGGCCAAUUAGUUCUGAUACUAGAUGAAUUUAUGUAGGGAACAACUCCAAAGUUGAGGUCAAGAGUAUUGGAACUUGAAAAUUGGAGUUGCGUAAAGAAUGUGUCCUAUUCCUACAUGAUGUUAUUUAUAUUCUGGAUAUUCGAUGAAAUUUGGUCUCUGUGUUAGUCCUUUUUGGUUUAGGUUUCAAUUUGAGUUUUCAUAAUUCAAUAAUGGAGUUGUAUUUGGGAACAACAUAAUAUGGUUUUGGAUUUAUUUUGAAUGGUUUUAUAGUUCUUGACAUUGAUAAAUGUGUGUUGUCUAAUACUAAUGAUAGUUAUUAUUCAUUGAUGACUACUUCUAAAAAUGCAUGUGAUAAUGUGAUCAUACGGCAUGCUAGACUUAGGCAUAUUGGACAAGAAAAAAAUAAAUAGACUAGCUAGAGAAAAUCAUUUUGGUCAAUUCACUAAAGAUUGAUACACCAACUUGUGAAUAUUGUCUAACUGAUAAAACUACAAGAAAACCAUUUGGAAAAGGAACUAAAACUAAAACACCAUUGCAAUUAAUCCAUUUUUUACAUUGGUGAUCCUAUGAGUGUUAGAGCAAGGCAUGGAGCCUUGUACUUCAUCACAUUUAUAGAUGACUUUACUCAUUAUGGUCAUGUUUAUUUGAUUUCUCAUAAGUUAGAAACAUUAGAUUGUUUCAGCUGCUACAUUAAUUUAGUUGAGAAUCAGUUGGACAAAAGGAAUAAAACAUAAAGAACAAAUAUGGGAAAAGAAUAUCUAUUAGAACAAUUUAAAGAUUUAGACUCCACAACAAAAUGUUGUUGCUAAGAGGAAGAAAUAGAAUGUUGUUACACAUGGUUAUGUCAAUGGUGGCUCAAGCAAAUCUUCUUAUUUCAUAUUGAGGAGACACAUUGUUGACUACUUCUCAUGUACUUAACCAAGUACCCUCAAAGUUUGUUUCACCUACUCUAUAUGAGUUUUCGAAUAACCGAAAGCCUGAUCCUAGCAAUUUGCGACCUUGGGGGUCGAUGGCUUAUGUUCACAAUCCUUCUCAUAAAUAUGGAAAAUUAGGUCAUAGAGGGACGAAAUGUGUAUUUAUAAGAUACAGUGAACACUCCAAAGGGUAUGUGUUCAUAGGUGAGUAUGAAGAUGGAAAUUAGAAUCACGAGAUGUCAAGUUCUUAAAGGAUGAUUUCCCACGUACGGGUGAGAUUGAUAGGGAUUUACAUCUUUAUGAAAUGAUGGAUCUCGAUAUAAGAUCCGUACCCAAACAAAUUGAUGGUUGAAUCAAGUGGGAGUGAACUAGUACUCGUAGCAAGUAUAGUAAAAGAGUCGAUGUUGAGAAAAAGUUCUCAAUAAAUUAUUCCUCCACAACGAUUUGAGAUUGAAGGGGAAAUUCAUAUUGUCACUCAAUAUGAUGAUGUUGAGCCUAAUUUGGUUCAAGAGACUCUUACUUGUCCAAGUAAGGAUGAAUGGAGAAAAACAAUGGAAGAGGAAUUGGAGUUGAUGCAAAAGAAUCAAGUCUAGGGCUUGGUUGAUUUGCCUUUAGAUUGAAAAGCUAUUGGGAACAAAUGAGUUCUUAAAAUAAAACAAAAGACAGAUGGAUCCAUUGAAAAUUAUAAAGCUCAAUUAAUGACUAAAGGGCAUACCCAACAAGAGGGUAUAUAGACUACGAGGAAACCAUCUCUUUAGUAGUUAGGUUUGCCUCAAUUCACCUCAUUCUAGCUAUAAUAGCUCAUAUGGAUUUAAAGCUACACCAAAUAGAUGCUAAGACAACUUUCCUUAAUGGAGAGUUGAAUGAAGAAAUCUAUAUGGAACAACUAGUGGAUUUCAUUAUCCAAGGCUAAGAGCACAAAGUGUGCAAGUUAAAUUGAUUGAUUUAUGGCCUUAAACAAUCAUCUAGGUAGUGGUACUUAAGAUUUCAUUGUGCAAUAACUUCAUAUGUUUUCACAAUGAUUUAUGAAGACCACUGUGUUUAUAUUAAGCAAAAUAAAGAAAUUUUUUUUAUUAUCUUUAUACAUGAAUGAUAUACUUAUAGCUAGAAAUGAUUUGGAGUUUGUUUAAACCAUUUAAUGAUUUUUGUCAUCUACUUCUGAGAUGAAAGAUAUGGGAGAAGCAUCUUAUAUUCUUAGAGUAAAGAUCCAUAGAGAUCGUUCUCAUAAACUAGUCGUUCUUUCACAAGAAUACUAUAUUAAGAAUAUCCUUGAAUGAUUUAAUGUGCAAGAUUGCAAUUCCAUUGACACUCCUUUUGCAAGAGGUGAAAACCUAAGUAAAUAAAUGGGUCCAAAGACUCCAAAAGAAAAGAAAAAAAAUAACUAAUGUUCCCUACUCUAGUGUUAUUGGGAGUCUAAUGUAUGCUACGAUGUGUACAAGACUACAUAUAUCUAUUAUGUUGUUAGGAUGGUGAGUCGUUACCAAGAAAAUCCUAGAAUGAUGCUUUGGAAAAUAGUAUAGAGAAUUCUUCGGUAUCUAAUAGGCAUGUGAACUAUUCUUUUUGUUAUCUAGGCAAAGAAAUGCGCUUGUGGGUUAUUCACAUAUUGUUUGGGCAGAUGAUCUAGAUGAGCACAAAUCAACAUCUAGAUACACAUUCUUGCUUAAUAAUGGUGUCAAAUUAUGGAAAAGCAAGAAACAAACUUGUAUAGCUUUAUCAACCAUGGAAGCUGAAUUUAUUGUUUGUUCAACUGUAAUAUAAGAAGUCGUAUGAUUGAAAAGUUUUUUUGCAAAGCUUGGGAAUAGUCAAUGAUGUUCUUAAGCCAAUGACAGUCUAAAGUGACGGUCAAUUUGUGACUAUUUAUGUAAAUGAUCUGAAAUAUCAUAGAAAAACUAAACAUCUAGAUACCAAGAAUAAUUUUAAAAGAGAUGUUAUUGCAUGAGGAGGAAAUGAUCCUGAAUAUUUACCUACAUGUAAAAUGGUUGUUGAUCUAUUCAUGAAAUCCAUUCUAAGGAACAUAUUUUCUAUACAUGUAAAGUCAUUAGGACUAUGUAGGUUAUGAUCUAUGUGGAUCAUAUGUCAUGGAUUAUUAUUGAUUGGAUAUAUGAUGCUUUAUAUAUGUUAAAAUGAUAUGAGUAUUUGUUAUUCAUAUAAUUGAAUGUGUAAUUGGUACUUACAUAUAUAUAUGUAUGUCAACAAGUUGAGGUUAACUCUCUCACAUGAGCAAUUGCCCCAAUCAAUAUGUUUAUGAGUUGGGAUGAGACAAUAUAUUAAUGAUGACGAAUGAGUGAAUAGUAUACAAAAGAUUAUGAGUGUUGUCUUGAUUAAUUAUUAAGAUGAGGUCUAUAAUAAAUGAAAUCUUGACUGAAUGUAAUCGCCCACAAUUAUAUUUACCUGUUUGAACCGGACUUGAGUUUUAUCAUAAAAGGUUUAAAGAGAACAAUAGACGCAAAACGCAAACAAUCUACUGGUGUGAAGCUCUUAAUUAAGGUCCAUAUGGUGGUAGUUUGACAUACACUCUCUAAGUGGAGAGAAACCACCAUAACAUGUAUUUCAUACUACAUGUAUUUGAAUGUGACUAAUAAGGGAAGUGAGUGAUUAAUCUUUGCAUCUUCACUGUGUGAGAUCCUUAGGGCUUAUUACAAUUAUAAUAGCCCAUUAUUGUACUCUUUGUACUUUUGACUAUGUUUUGAGGUGACAAAUUAAUGUUGCUACUUUGGUAUGUUUUCGAUGGAAAUGAAAUAAUUUAUCCUUAUGGGACAUAUUGGGCAAACAAUUAAUUUGGAUCUAAAAGACAUGAGCUCAAAAGGAAGCCUUUUUUCUAGUUACAUUGAAAGAUGGUACCCUUCUUUUAAAGAAGAAAUGUCUUUUAUACUCAAAGAUUGUCUUUAUAUUCCUAACUAUAGAAAUAAUUUGAUUUCACUUUCUAGUUUAAAUAAAUGUGACUUUUUGGUUUCUUUUAAUAAAGACAUUAUUAGAAAGAAUGUUGUAUUGUGAAUAAUGGCACUGGCGUGAGAAGAAAUCGUGCAUCAUCAACUUUAGCACCAUAUUACAAUUGAGAUCAUGCACAACAAAAGUUCACUACAACUUAAAAAAAUAUCCUAUAAUUAAAGUUGUUUUUUUUUUUAUUGAUCAUAAGAAUGAACAUGAGUACAUUUUUAAUAUGGCUAGAUUUUAACAUGCAAGAAAAUCUAGAUGUGGAUGUAUCCAUGAUUUUACUUGGUUGGCUAAUAAAACUUCAAGGUCCCUCGCAAAUUAAAAGAAUUUAAUUUUUAUUUAUGCCUUAUUUUUUGCGAAUGCAUUCCUAAUUGAUUAGAUAAGGGUUUAAAUUUCAUUAUCUUUAUUUGAAUAUUAUGAACACACUAGUUAAUUUAUUGGUCAUUUCUAGAAUAGCAUAAUUUACCUAAUGAGCAUAGAAAAGAUGUUAUAAUAUACGCAUUAUGUGAACAUCAAUAGUCAUAUUUUGGUUGUUCACUUAUGAUCCCUGUUUUUCUCUACUUGUAAGUUGAGACUUAUAUAUAAGAAUAGCUCAUCCAAUGUGUUUCUAAAUACUCACACUCAAAUGAGGACUUAUUUUUAUUGUCUUUAGGAAUUUCUACCUAAAAGUGGUCAUAAAAUGCAAGGUUUCAAUUUUAUAGAUAUUUUCAUAAUAAUCAUAUUAUAAACAAUCAAUAAAAGUUAGUUUCAUGUAUGAAAUCAUAUAUUAACAAAAUAUAAAAAAUACUUAAAUCAUCUUUCCAAAAUAUUCAAAUAAUAAGGUGACUAAAGAAUUUAAAUAUACUUAUAAUUCACAUAAACAUGUAUACAUCCAUUACUUGUGAAUUAAAGAAUGAAUUCCAUAAAGGUUUUAAUCAAGCAAAAUCAGUACCAUAAUUUUGUCUUUAACUCGUUGUAAUAGACAGGGACAUAUACCUCUCUCAAAACAUUUGAAAUGAAAAUUUUGAAAUCACGAUGUUCUUCUUCUUUUGAAUUUGAUUGCUUGUUCUUAAUUUGACAUUCUCUUUCCCUUUGAGAUUAAAAACAAACAAACAAACAAACAAACAAACAAACGGAGUAACAAAUUAAAAAGAGUGUCAAUUCAACUCAAUUAGAGUCUAUUCAAAAUUGGAAAUUUCCUUGCAGCAACUAACUAGCUUGAAUGAAUAAGGAUGUAUGGGUUGAUCAAUUGAGCUUUGGGCCUUUGAAUAAUGAUAUCAAAUUUUCACUUUCAAUUGCUUGAGACAUUCCACUUGGAUAUCAAUCAAACCCAAGGUUAAGACAUUAAAUUAUGUAAUUUUCUAUAAUAAGAUAGUUUUAGAAAAUGUUUAAUGCUUCAAAAGUAAUAACUUAUGAAAUAAAGAAUCAAUCACAACAUAAGCUUUAGUUAACAAAUACAAUGCCAUGAUUUUAUAUUUUCGCUCAUUUGAAAUACGUAGGAACCCAGGGUUAUCAAUCAAACCCAGGUUUAAGACAUUAAAUUAUGUAAUUUUCUAUAAUAAGCUAGUUUCACAAAAUGUUUAAUGCUUCAAAAGUAAUAACUUAUGGAAUAAAGAAUCAAUCCCAACAUAAGCUUUAGUUAACAAAUGCAAUGCCAUAAUUUUAUAUUUUUGCUCAUUUGAAAUACAUAGGAACAAAUACCAACAUGCAUCUUAAAGUAAUCCAAAACAAAAUACUUGAAAUUGAAAUAUUCUUUCCCAUUUUAAAGGAGAUUCUAUCUCUUUACACCAAGAAUUAUGAAUAGAGCAAAAGUGUGAGUUUAAAUUGGCAUCACUUUAAUCAAAAUCUCAAAUUGGGUUGAAGUAUUUGACUUGCCUUGAUUAAUAAGGGCAUCCGCAUCCAUGGCUUAACCAAUAGGGGCUGGGCAUUUGACAUUAUGUAUUUAGCAGCUUGGAAUGUCCCAUCAAAGCUUGAUGUGUACUAACUUUUCCAACAAAAUGUUUAAUCUGCAAAAAAAUUAACAAUGCAAUCAAGCUUGUCCUACAAAUGCCUUAAAACAAGUUCCAAUAAAAAUGGGUUUUGAAAAAAAAAAAUUAAAAAUUAAAAUUCAGCCCCUUGGAAUCAGCAAGGCAUAUAUAAUAGAAACUAAGAAAAGGAGGGUGGCUUAAUUACCAAAAAGUUGAGAUAAAUGUUUGGUCAACAUCAACAAUUCUCUUACUUGAAAUUAGUGUCUUGUGCAGCAUAUCCAAUGAACAAAUUUGCAAAGAAGCUCCAGCCAUCUAUGCAUAUGGUCCAUUUCAUGGUCUUGGGCAUCAACACCAUUAUCAUCAAUAUUCAGGGUGGUGCCAUCACAGCUUCUCUCCAUUCAUUUGAGUGAUAUCCCUCGGGAAUAUUUGACUUAGGAUAAUAUAUCAAGCACCCUUGACUUGAUGCAUCUUCAUCAUAGCAGAAUUCACAAAAUUGAUGAGACUGACAGGAAAAAUAGGCACUGUCAUCAUCGAAAUUCAAUUUACAGUUGAAAUCCCUAUGUGGUGUGGUCUCAAUCUCAAGUGGAACAUAAGGAGAGCACAGAACAAAGCCCAAGAAGUCAUCAUUUUCAUACCAACUCCAGGGAAGUUUCAUUGUUGUAGGGACCCCUCCCUCUGGGAAACACGUGGCACGCAUCUCACAAUGACACGUGGCACGUGUCAUCAGCUGGACCAUCAUCAUCCGGAUCCCCCUAAGGAUGCGUAUUAUACAGUUCUCCUAUCCGGACCGCCUCAAGGAAAGGCAAAUGACGUUUCAGCUUCUCCUAUCCAAGGAAGAGCAAACGACGCUGACAGAUCAUAGACAUCCGGACAACCUUCAUAACACAUUCGCUCCACAAUACAUCCGGAUAAUCAGCAUGUGACAUCCGGAUAUAAUCGUCCGGCUCAUCAAUUAAAGUAAAGCGAGUCUUACACGCUAUCACAACAAACAGCCAUGGCCCACAUCCUAUCAUCUGCAAAGUGAGAAGACAAGAUGAGGUGACAGCAAGUCACUUCCCACGAUCAAUUUUACGUGAUCACUUCCCACGAUCUCUGACAGCCGCAUCACCUACCAUGGUUUCUGACAGCCGCUCGUAGGGUGAUGAUGCUCAUACUGACGCCUAUUAUCAUCAUAACAACAUAAAAUAUCUCCUCACCAUUAAUGAGGAGGACAGUACCCCUAAAGCUGUAUAUAUAAGCCUUCACAUGAAGAAGAAGGGAAUCCCCCUGGUAACCUCCUAAUACCUGGUAAAGGGCCAACUGAUUUAUAUCUCUCUCUGACCAUGGCUAACAAAACCAUCGGAGGGUGCGUCCGGACACCCUGUCCGGAUGCCUUCUUGCAGGUAUAACGACUGGAUCAAGAACCUUUAUGAGUUGAAAUCACGUGUCCAUCCAUCUGGCAACUACGUGGAUCAUCAAAGACGCGAGGUAUCAACAUUGGCGCCGUCUGUGGGAACUUUUUACUUUGAUUCAGUCACUAAAAAAGAUGGCCACACCUUCCCAAAGCCGUUCAUCUGGUAGGGGAGAGGAUGAUAAUUUUGAAUGGCGCCUAGCCAUCGAAAGGAGACAGUUGGCAAGCGAAAGACAGCUAAAAGCUCUCCUCCAGGAGACAGAAAGAUUGAGAGAAGAAAACGCGGUGUUACGCAUCCAGGCUUCAACAUCAGGGCCUCCUCGACGUCAGCGUUCGAGGAGCCAAGUAGCAAACUCAAGGCCUCAACAAGAACCAGAGUCAAUAUAUCCUGGGACAACAGGAGCUAUCCCAGGAGCAUGCAACGUAAGACCUCAUGAGCCACGCACGCCUAUGCCUCGAGCUCCCCGUGAGGAAAGCUCAGACUCUACUCAUUUUUCAGCGAAGAGACAACGUGAUAAAAAAUCCCAAUUGUCAAAUUCGAUGCGCGCAAGACUAGGCCCACAAGAGCCUGGAAGAUCAAGGCCACCAAUGGCCACAACUUGGGCACCACGCCCUGACCCCAUGGCCACCCCCAUGGUGCAAAACGUUUACCCGCAUCGUGACCCCGUAGUCACCCCCGUAAUGCGGAACGUUCAUUCGCACCCAACAGAACAGCCAACUGGGAGAAACAUCCCAAACGGGCCACCCAUUGGCUCCAUCAGCAAAAGGCUGGAUGACAUGCUCUCCACGCCUUUCUGCUCUCAUAUCAUUAAUUACGAGCCCCCAAGGGGAUUCCUCGUACCAAAAUUUUCCACAUACGAUGGAACCAAUGAUCCCUUCGAUCACAUCAUGCAUUAUCGACAACUCAUGACGCUCGAUAUUAGCAACGAUGCACUACUAUGCAAAGUAUUUCCCGCCAGCCUACAAGGACAGGCCCUUUCAUGGUUUCAUCGCCUACCGCCCAACUUCGUUGGCAAUUUCAGGGACCUGUCCGAAGCUUUCGUGGGACAAUACCUGUGCUCCGCUCGACACAAGCAAAAUAUCAGCACCUUGCAAAACAUAAAAAUGCAAGAUAAUGAAUCCUUGAGGGAAUUUGUGAAGCGGUUUGGCCAAGCCGUACUUCAAGUGGAAGCUUGCAGUAUGGAUGCUGUCCUAUAGAUCUUCAAACGAAGCAUCUGUCCAGGCACUCCAUUUUUCGAAUCACUGGCUAAAAAGCCUCCUACUACGAUGGAUGACUUAUUCAGACGAGCCAACAAAUAUUCAAUGCUCGAAGAUGACGUACGUGCAGCCACCCAACAAGUUUUGGUUGCCGGAAGGCCGUCUAGAAGUAAUUCGGAGAGAAAUACUAAACCUCCGGAUCGGCCAAAAUCGUUUGACCGAAGGCAGGAAGGGCCAAGUCGCCCGAAAAUGCCUCCUCUCACACCUCUUUCUAUAUCAUAUGAGAAGUUUCUCCCGAUGAUCCAGGACUUGUCCAACUUCAAGUGGCCUAGACCCAUUGGAACGGACCCAUCCACAAGGGAUCGUAGUAGGAGAUGUGCCUUCCACAAAGAUCAUGGCCAUACAACAGAGACAUGCCGAUCUUUCCAGUAUCUGGUCGAAAGGCUCAUAAAAGCAGGGCAUUUGAAGCAAUACCUCCGAUUAGAUAAUGGACGAAGGGACACACCCCAACAUCACAACCCCGAGAACCUUAGGGCCCCAGCUACCCCCAAGGCCGUUAUAAACUAUAUUACCGAGGGUCCAUCUGACGAGGAGUACGACUCUAGGCGAAAGAGGCAAAAAUUGUUGCGAGCCGCAUCAAUACGCGAACGCAUCAACUCCAUCCGGCCUGGGCUAACUGGAGGGGGCCCUUGCCCCAUAGAUGGAACAAUCAUUUUUCCACCGGUGGAUCCCACCCGAACACUGCAGCCGCAUCGCGACGCCCUCAUCUUGUCCCUGGAAAUUGGGGACUUCGAUGUGCGGCGUAUCUUGAUUGACCCAAGCAGUUCGGCCGAUCUUGUGCAAGCAUCGGUCGUGGGCCACAUGGGACACACUCUCACAGGCCUCGAAAACCCUGGACGAAUCCUAUCCGGAUUCAACGGGUCUUCAACUACAUCCUUGGGAGACAUUGUACUGCCGGUCCAAGCAGGCCCAGUCACUCUCAAUGUACAGUUUUCAGUAGUACAGCAGCUAUCACCCUUCAAUGUCAUUUUGGGGCGCACAUGGCUCCACUACAUGAAAGCUAUCCCCUCUACAUACCAUCAAAUGGUGAGUUUUCUCACCAACGAUGGCCAAGUCGACCUAUAUGGCAGCCAAUUAGCCGCUCGCCAGUGCUAUCAGAUAGCACGUGAAGCAGGGGCCAACCAGGAGGAUGCAUCUCCCCCUGAACCCAGCAUUGCACAUGACCAAUAGCAAUUAUUGGGUCCGACGGACAAAGAUCCCCCGGCAGCAGAUCCCUUACAAACAAUCCAAAUUUCAGAGGAAAACACUCACCUCACGAACAUCAGUUCCCUCAUGACACGAGAAGAAACGCAGAGCAUGCAAAAUAUUCUCAAACAGAACCAUGACAUCUUCGCAUGGGCACAUUCUGACAUGAAGGGAAUUCAUCCCUCCAUUGCAUCUCACAGGCUUAACGUCUUUUUAACUGCCAGACCCGUCCGGCAGAGGAUUAGGCGAUUUCACCCGGAUAGACAAAGAGUCAUCCGGAAUGAGAAUGACAAAUUACUCGAAGCCGGAUUCAUCAGAGAAGUUUCUUAUCCGGAUUGGUUGGCAAACGUAGUAGUGGUACCCAAAAAAGAAGGAAAAUGGCGAGUUUGUGUAGACUAUACCAAUCUCAACAAUGCGUGUCCAAAAGACAGUUUUCCCUUGCCUUGAAUAGAUCAGAUUGUGGAUUCCACCUCCGGGCAAGGAAUGCUCUCUUUCUUGGAUGCCUUCUCCGGAUAUCAUCAAAUCCCCAUGUCCCCGGAUGACGAAGAAAAGACAGCAUUCAUAACGCCACACGGCCUCUAUUGCUACAAAGUCAUGCCAUUUGGACUCAAAAAUACUGGCGCCACUUAUCAAAGAUUGAUGACUAAAAUCUUCAAACCUCUGAUAGGCCACUCGGUAGAGGUAUAUAUUGACGAUAUCGUGGUUAAAAGCAAAACUCGAGAACAGCAUAUCCUUCACUUACAAGAAGUUUUUCACCUCUUGCGAAAGUAUGGCAUGAAGCUAAAUCCUUCCAAAUGCUCCUUUGGCGUGAAUGCUGGCAAAUUCCUGGGAUUUAUGGUCAGCUAAAGAGGCAUAGAAGUCAGCCCGGAUCAAGUCAAAGCAGUCAUGGAAACACCCCCUCCCAGGAACAAGAAGGAGUUACAAUGCCUCACAGGCAAGCUCGUUGCGUUAAGGCGUUUCAUAGCCCGCUUCAUUGAUGAGUUGCGACCCUUCUUCUUGGCAAUACGAAAAGCUGGAGCACACGGAUGGACGGACAGUUGCCAAAACGCUUUGGAAAGGAUUAAGCAUUGUCUUAUACAACCACCCAUCUUGAGCAGCCUCAUCCCAAAGGAGAAAUUGUACAUGUAUUUGGCAGUAUUAGAAUGGGCAAUCAGCGCCGUUCUAUUCCGCUGCCCCUCACCCAAGGAGCAGAAACCUAUCUACUAUGUCAGCAGGGCAUUGGCAGACAUAGAAACCAGAUAUUCAAAAAUGGAACUAACAGUCUUAGCCCUUCGGAGCGCUACCCAAAAGCUCCGGCCCUAUUUCCAAGCCCACCCGGUGAUCGUGUUAACCGAUCAACCCCUUCGCAACAUUCUGCACAAACCAGAUUUAACCGGGAGAAUGCUGCAAUGGGCCAUUGAGUUAAGCGAAUUUGGAAUCGAAUUCCAACCUAGAUUGGCCAUGAAAGGCCAAGUAAUGGCUGACUUCGUGCUAGAAUAUUCCCGAAGACCCAGCCAACAUGACGAAUCAAGUAAAAAAGAAUGGUGGACUCUGCGAGUUGACAGAGCCUCACGCUCAUCAGGCUCUGGAGUCGGGCUCCUAUUACAGUUCCCAACUGGGGAACAUUUGGAACAAGCCAUCCGGCUGGGAUUUUCUGCCUCUAACAACGAAGCAGAAUAUGAAGCCAUCUUGUCCGGAUUGGACCUCGCCCUCGCUCUAUCCGUCUCCAAACUCCGGAUCUACAGUGACUCACAACUCGUGGUAAAGCAUGUCCAGGAGGAAUAUGAGGCUAAAGACGCACGCAUGGCGCGAUACUUAGCUAAAGUAAGAGACACCUUGCAGCAAUUCACCGAAUGGGCAAUCGAAAAAAUCAGGCGAGCUGACAACAGGCUCGCUGACGCCUUGGCCGGCAUAGCUGCCUCCCUCCCCAUCAAAGAAGCCAUUCUAUUGCCCAUACAUGUGCAACCCAACCCCUCUGUCGCAGAAAUUUCCACCUGCAAUACCAUUGAGACAAACCAGGCGGAUGGCCAAGAAUGGACGUAUGACAUCACAGAGUAUAUCCGGACCGGCACCCUACCCGGAGAUCUCAAACGGGCACACAAAGUCCGGGUGCAAGCUGCCCGUUUCACCCUGAUUGGGGGGCACCUGUACAAGCGAUCCUUCACAGGACCUUACCUUCGAUGCCUAGGGCAGUCAGAGGCCCAGUAUGUGUUAGCUGAGUUACAUGAGGGAAUAUACGGAAAUCAUUCGGGAGGACGAUCUCUGGCACAUAGAGCUCAUUCGCAAGGAUACUAUUGGCCAACAAUGAAGAAAGACGCGGCAGCAUAUGUCAAAAGAUGUGAUAAAUGUCAAAGGUAUGCUCCCAUUCCACAUAUGUCAUCAACAACGUUAAAAUCAAUCUUAGGCCCAUGGCCCUUCGCACAAUGGGGCAUGGACAUAGUGAGACCUCUCCCAGCUGCACCUGCCCAAAAGAAAUUUUUGCUUGUUGCCACAGACUAUUUCAGUAAGUGGGUGGAAGCUGAAGCAUAUGCUAGCAUCAAAGACAAUGGUCCACAAUUUGAUAGCAUUGCAUUCAGGAAUUUCUGUUCGGAGCUAAACAUCCGGAACUCAUACUCCACACCACGAUAUCCUCAAAGCAAUGGGCAAGCAGAAGCCACAAACAAGACCCUAAUCACUGCCUUAAAGAAAAGGCUUGAGCAAGCCAAAGGAAAAUGGGUCAAGGAGCUGCCCGACGUCCUAUGGGCCUACCGAACUACACCCGGACGGCCAACAGGAAACACUCCUUUCGCUCUCGCAUAUGGAAUGGAUGCAGUCAUUCCUACCGAAAUAGGUUUCCCUACUAUCCGGACUGACGCAGCAAAACAGAGUGAUGCAAACAUAGAAUUAGGAAGAAAUUUGGAUUGGACGGAUGAAGUGAGGGAAAACGCGGCCAUCCGGAUGGCAGAUUAUCAACAAAGGGCAUUAGCACAUUACAAUCGCAAAGUGAGGCUAAGAAGCUUCAAAAAUGGUACGCUAGUCCUUAGAAAAGUUUUUGAAAAUACUACUAAAGUGGGUGUGAUUCAUGCCCAAUUGGUGUCUCAGCUGAUUCAUGUCCAGCUGGUGCUCCUUGGAUGAGGGAGUGAUCAACAAAAUUUAUACCUAUAACACCAUACACUAGGGUAGCAAAUAAAAAGCUACUAUAGUAUAGUGGCUCUAGGAUCGUUCACUGGGAAUGAUUAACAAGCAAUCAAGGAUACCAAUUCCAAGUGAAUUGGUCUUGUUUCAUUUCACGGUUAGCUUAAGAAAUAAAACACAAACUUUGAUUGGUAAAGGUUGAGACUUAAACUAACUAACUUAACAGAAGUUUGGAAUAAUUUAGGAAGAAAAGCAUUCCUUGGAGAUUUAGGUUCACUGGGGUGGUUCCUCAUGCAAAAGACACGGCUCUGGUCAGUUGGUUCAUUUCCUCGCAUUAGAGAUUCAACAUAUAGUUAAUUCUCUAACCGGUGAUGUACAGAGACUCCUUCAAUUAGAUUUCACUUUAAUUCUCUCACUGAUGCAACUUGCAAUGGUUCAUGCCUCUCACCAAGCCUCAACCAUUCAAGGUGAUCUUUAACCUUGGACUUCCUUUCACAAACUCACAAGAGAUAACUAAUGGAUGUCUCCUAAGAGUCCAAAAGCUUAUCAAGUGUUGGUUAUUCUAGAAAAUCCCACCUUGAAGUCACCUACCAAAGGCUCGCAAGGGGUAAACUAGUGCAUUUCCAUGGUUGGAAAUCACUUGCCUUACCAAGUGUUGGCCCAGGUGACUCUAAGGUGUUUUAAGUUAACUAAAAACAUUGAAAUCACUAAAGGAUUUCACUUCCUCUUCAUUACUAGCUAAAACCACAAAGCUUUGCAUUCUUGCACUUGGAACCUUCCCCGGCAACCUUAGCUCCAAGGAAUUGGAGGUUUAGUUACUCAUUCUCUGGGGAAAACUCCUCAGAGAAUUUAUAACUAAAAAAUAAAAUGAAAAUACAAAGUGAGAAGGUAAGGCAGUAGAAAGAAAAGACCUUUACUUGCUUACCAAAUGGUUACAGAAAAAACUCCUCCUUGAGAACAUGCUCCCGAGAGGUAUUUAUAUCAAAACAAAAUAAAACUAAUUCUUACAAAGAUAUUUAGUCUUUUUACUAACUUAAAAACUAAGGAAUCAUGUAAUUGGUCGUUUACAAGGAGUAUUUUGGGAUUUAGACAACAAAAAUCUAAUGGAAAAUAUCUCCCAAUGUCGGUAGCAAGCUUCGGGAGGCUUCAGGAGCCAUUUUGCAGGAGAAAAGUGGUGUCUGCGAAAUUGGUAGCAAGCUUCGGGAGGCUUCAGGAGCCAUUUUGCAGGAGAAAAGUGGUGUCUGCGAAAUUUCGCAGACACCCAAGAGGGCUGCGAAAUAUUUUUGCAAUAGCAAGCUAUCUUCACCAGGCUGCAAAGUUGGCUUCCAUCUUGAGGUUCCUAGCUUCCCUCUUGCGGCAUAAAUCAGGCAUCGUCAGAAGGAGAAACACUCUACUGUACAAAAAUGCUGCGAAAUCACUUCGCAACAAAAGGGUGAUUUCGCAACACUCUCCAAAAUGUUCUCUUCAGCUCGGAGUGAUUGGCUUGUAAUGGCUGCAACUUCUUCGUUUCAACUUCGAAUUGCACACCGUUUGAAGCAUUGGAUUGUUGACUUCCUGAGCUUUGAAAUGGUAUAUAGCAUGCAUCAUUUGGACUUCAGAAAGUGCCCCAAAAGUGGCUGCUACAACUGUCAUCAAGAACAUGCUUUAUGGCAGAUUCUCUUUGCUUUUUCUCCUUGCAAUCCGGAUUCACUCUUCUAAGCUUUGCCCAAGAUUCCUCAUAGCUCUCCUCAUUAUUGACUUGCUUUGGUGAUCAAAAUACUAACAAAAACACCAAAACUUACACAAAGUGAUCAAAAUUGCUUUAAAGGAUCCUUAACAUGCCAAUUGAGUUAAAAGGCCUAAACUACUACUCAAAAGUGGUUAAAAGGAUUGAUUAUAGGCUAAUCAAAUAGCACUUUUUGAGUAGUAAUCAGGGUGCAGGGAAAUUCCAAGCCAACUGGGAAGGACCCUAUAUAGUGUCUAAGGCAAGUGACAAUGGAGCCUAUCAUUUACAAAAGUUAGACGGAACUCCAUUACUUAGGCCAUAGAAUGUGUCUAAUUUAAAACAGUAUUAUCAAUGAAAAAGCAAAGACAAGUGCAAAUGGAAAAAUAACUGUUUUAUUGAUGUAUAUAAAUGUAUGUACAAAGAGGUCUCCGGACCAUAGAAAGUACAAAAAGAAGAUUACAGCAAAAAGUUGCAAAACGACAAAAGCUAUCAGGGAGCAGCCUUAAAGUUUCUUCUCUUCACCCGGAGGAAUUGAAGGGACAUCCCGCUUUAUGCCAUUCUUCUUCAUACAACAGCGAUAGCCGAAGAUGAAGGUGUCAUCCACUUGUUUUUGGUAGUCCACUUCAAGUUCCUCCCUUUCUACAGCAAACUCCCGCUCAAGCUCUUCUCUUUGCACGGAUAAGCGCAACUGCAAAUCUUCCUUCUGCUUCUUUUCAAUAGAAGCCUCUGUCCGGAGUUGCCUCACCUCUCCCCCUAUCCGGGCUAUCUCAUCCUCUGCCUCAUGCAGACGGGCAAUCGAUGAUUCCUCCCGGUCCUUAGCCUCAGCCAAUUCCACCCGAAGGGCUUCAUUGUCCUCUCGAGCGGUGGAUAAGCUGGCUUCAGCCUCCGCCAGUCUCAGGCGCAACUGAUCUUCAGCAUCUUUGCGCCGAAUGGCGAAGGCCUUCAUAUAAUCAGUGGUCCGCAGCAGGUCAGUGAAAAGAUCGUAUUGAUUGGCCAUGCCACGGAGACCACUCACCAGCUGCAGGCAAAUAGUCAAAACAAGAAAAGCAAAAUUAGAAAUCACACCGCAAACGCACAUCAGGAUGACAAAAAUCAAAGAAGCAUAAAAGCAGUUUACCGUUUCCACCAUCUCGAACAUCUGGGCUGAAGUCAUGACAGUGGGCAAGCCAGGUGGAAUCUGUUUCAGCUUCUCUUCCAACUCCGUGUAGCUAAAAGGACUAGCGGAGCCGCAAGCAGCAUCAUUAACAGGAUCCCCGCCUGAUGAGGCAACAGAAGGAGACUCUUGUUCCGGAUUCUGGGCCUCAACAUUUACGACCGGAUGGGUCUCCCCGGGUGCAACCUCAGCCGGGACCAUCACAGGGACGGCUGAAGGCUCAGUUGCCAUCUCCACUUCACCCCCCUCCGGAUGAGCGUCGUGGGCGGAUGAGCAACUAACUUCAAUCUCUUGCUGACGAUCUUGAAGCCGCCCGAGGAGUUCGGACCUCAGAUUGCGCGCCGAGCGAGGCCUCUUUGAAGGUGGCCCCUUCACCAGAAUAAGAGCCAGACAGUCCAGAUCGUCAGAGGGCUGACUCUGACUUUCCGCCCCAGCUUCCUCCAUGGGGGUCGCACAAACGGCCUCAGCUGCAUCGGCAUCUGAAUUACGAGAGUCCGGAUGGUUGACGGACACAGCUUCCUCAGCCAAAUUCGCCAGACGGGCAACCGCUGCCAAGGAGGUGCUUGAGUGGUUCAGCCCCGCGACGUGUCCGGAUCCGCUUGAGAUGGAAUGAGGAGCAAGGUUCACGGGCUCCUCUAUCAUUACCUCCGCCUCGUGAGUAAUGGGCGGAGGAGCAAAUUCCUUGGGAGGAGUGGGCUCCUUCACGUCCUUCCCAUUCUUCUUCACCAGCUUCCUCCUUUUCGCUGGAGUUUUCUUUGGAGAAGAGUCUUGAUUACUACCAAAAAGUGCUAUUUUGUAGACCUAAUUAUAAUGGUUUUAAGCACCUUUGCGUAGUAAUCAUAUUCAUUUAACCCAAUUAAUUCAUUAAGGUCCUUAGUAAUUGGUUUUAACCAUUUUGUGGCAAGUUUACAUGUUUAUAUCAGCUUAUGAAUCAAUUCAAGCAUGCCAAAUGAUGGAGGAGCUACUUGGACAAGUUAAAGCAAGAUUUUAGCUACACCAAAGCAAGCCAACAAAAGGAGAAAAGCAAAGAGAAGCAAAGAGAAGCAAAAAGAAGCAAAGAGGAAAACAGAUGACAGCAGCUUCAGUCUUCUUUGGCACUUUUGGAGUACUUCCCGAAGUCCAUUUUCUACAUACUAUAUACCAUUUCAAAGCUCAGGAAGUCAAGAAUCCAACGUUUCAAACCGUGUACAAUUUGGAGCUGAAAUGAGGAAGAUAUGGCCUUCAGAAGACAACUGCUCCAGGGUUGUGCGAAAAUUUCGCACAACACCUUCCAAAUUCGCACAGCCCAUGCGUGGUGCGAAUUUUCCUCUGUUUCUGCCGACUCCACACGAGAUCUUUUCUUUUGGAUAUUUUUGUAUAAAUUUCCAUUCUUCUCCUUGUAAUCCACCAAUCAUAAGAUUUCUUAGCUAGGAAGGUUGGAAAAACUUCUCUAUUUAUAUCCCCUUGCAUCCGUUGUAACAAAUAUUGAUAUAUUGAUAUAUAGAUAUAGAAUACAUAUUACGUUUUACACUUAGAAUAUUUACAGAGCUCUCCCGUUUCUAUUUUCUUAGUAGCCAAACAGCCUUUGAGGGUUUUUCCUCAAAGGAUGAUUGGCUAAAACUUUUAGUUUCUCAAAGUAUGGAUGUUAUGUGAUGACUUGGAUGCAAUCCCAUGGAAAUUUCUCGCACCUAGAAGGUAAGGUAGUCGUUUUUCAUUAAAGGUUCAUUAAGGCAAAGUUUGGUUUUUAUUUCCUUUGGACAACUUCCAACGGCCAAUACUUGAUAAGCUUUUGGAUUUCUAUCCAUUAGUUAUCUCCUACGAGCUAUUGGAAGAUGAGGUUUUCAAUUCCAAGUUUUGCAUUAAUCCGUUAGAACCAAUUUCAAUGGCCAUUGAAAGGUGAGUUUAUCACCUGGAAUGACUUUGAGUUGCCAAUAUUUGGUAAGCUUUUGGCUUUAGACCAUUAGUUAUCUCUUACGAGCCAUUCAAAGGAAGUCUAAGGUGAAUAACCAUUGAUGAAAUUCACUACCAUCUAUUUUGCCAUUUUAAAGGAUUAAAACUUGAUUUGCUAAAUCCAUACCGGUUCGGGAAGCAAGCAUCACCAUAGUUGCAACCCCAACGCGAGGAGCCUAUCCUGAGAUUUUCAAUUUGCAUAAGAGCCAGAGCAUAGCUAUCCUAUCUUUGAGAAACUUGUUUUUACACCCUUUCAUUUUAGUCUUUAAUGUUAGCUUAGAUUAGUUUAAAUCUUUCUAAAACAUUUACAUCUUCUUUUAAAGCUAACAUCCAUAAGAAAAUCACCUAUUUUCCUAAUUUGAAUAUCACUUGUGUUUGCGAAAACCCUUCCCAGUGAACGAUCCUAGAACCACUAUGCUAUAGUAGCUUGGCUACUUUAGUAAUAGUAUUCAAGGUAUAAAUUUUGUUGAUACGCCUUUAAAGCUAAGCUACCAUGAGUCGAAUCAAGUCUCCGUCGCGUUUCUGUUCGGGAGCCUUCCGAAGGGUUCCUUCGUUUUUCUUCUUCUCCCGAUUGUCCAGGAGAACUCGGCGUUUUUCAGCGUCAGCCUCUUUUAACGCCUGGUAAAUCGGGAGAUCCUUCACAGUGUAAUGCUCCCCAGGCACUACCUCAUUUGGCAUCUUCCUGGGGAGAAUGUUGAUAACGUAUUCUUGGGGCUCCAGGACGACCGCCAUCAGGUUCCGUGCAGUCAGCAGCGUCUUGCACUGCCUCUCCUUGGCCUCUAUCUCAAACAACUUGCUAAGACAGGCAAAAGACGCCUUUUCCACCCAGUCCACAAGGUGGCCCCUCAAUUCCGGACCUACAAUAACAGCAACAAAAGAUGAGAACACCAUCCGGAAAAGUCAACAAAAAAUCAACAAAGUAAAAGCCGGACAAUAGUCGCAAAGCAAACCUACCCGGGACCAUCAAGGAGUAGUUUGGAGAGAAAGGCCUCGCCGGAUGCUCCAAAAACCCCGCCCAGGCACCCCGGACCACCACGUGUCCCGUCGCCCCUCCCUUUAUCGAAUCUGGUAGCUCCGUCACCAAUUGAAGGGAGGGCAGGUGUGCGGACAUGCUGAAGAUGUCAUUUUUUACCUUCUUCAGAGAAUAAACAAAAAACACCUCCAGCAGCGUGAGGUCGAGGUCGUACAGCAUGUUUAUGAUGUUGCAUCCCAUCAGCACCCGGACGAUGUUGGGAUGAAUGAAGACGGGAGGAAUCUGGGUGAAAUGAAGGAACUCCUUGAACAACGCCGGCAGAGGGAACCGGAGCCCCGCGUUGAAUUGUUCCUUCGAAAAGAUGAUGGUUUUUUCUUCUGAUUUAUCAGUAGGCACAAGCACCCUCCCAUCCAGCAAUUCAAUAGCCACGCUAUUCGGGAUACAGAACCGUUCCCGGAAUUCCUUCGCGUCCAGCUUAUCUGUCGUUUUUUCACGAACCUCGCUAGCCCGGGAAGUUGAAACAGUCUUUUUUGCAGCCAUUUCUUACCACAAAGACAAACCAAAAUCUACAUACAAAGAAGCGCAAUGGGUAAAACACAAGUAACCCAGAAACUACACAAACCCUAAACCAAAGCAGUCAGAAAAAAAAAAAAAAAAAAUAACCCUCAAAAAACCCCAAAGCACCAACAAAUGCCAAACAGUCGUAAGCGACUUACCCAAACAAAACCCAAACAAAUCAGAAACCAAGACCAAAGAACCAACAAAUGCAACAAAAGGAACAACAAUAGCAAAAGUACACGUACCAAAUGAAGCUCUGAAGGAGAAAGGUUGCUGCCUCGAUACAAAAUCACCAACAGCAAACGAACGACGCAACACAAAAUCACCGAUACAAAAGAGCUUUCGAGUUUCUUUUCUCAGAGAAGCAAAGGACACAACGGAAGCAAGAAGAAGAAAGGCUCUCAGGAGAAUGCAGUAGGGAAAAAAAUGCAAAAAGAAGGUACAGUGCGCUAUUUAUAAGGGGACAAGACCUCGGAAAGCCAAACGUCCAAACAAAUGCCAUCAUUGAAACGACAUAUUGCCUGGGAAUACCCAGGGUCGGCGGCUCAUCAUAAAUGUCUUUUUUGGCUUCCGCACCCCCACUCGCCACGUGGCCCAGUCAGACGAAGAGACCUCUUCAGUUUUCAAAAAAACCAGUUAUUUUUAACCCGCCCAUUUUCUGGGCAAAAUAGGCAAGUUAAAAAGGGGGGCAAUGUAGGGACCCCUCCCUUUGGGAAACAUAUGGCACGCAUCUCACAGUGACACGUGGCACGUGUCAUCAGCCGGACCAUCAUCAUCCGGAUCCCCCUAAGGAUGCGUAUUAUACAGUUCUCCUAUCCGGACCGCCUCAAGGAAAGGCAAAUGACGUUUCAGCUUCUCCUAUCCAAGGAAGAGCAAAUGACGCUGACAGAUCAUAGACAUCCGGACAACCUUCAUAACACAUUCGCUCCACAAUACAUCCGGAUAAUCAGCAUGUGACAUCCGGAUAUAAUCGUCCGGCUCAUCAAUUAAAGUAAAGCGAGUCUUACACGCUAUCACAACAAACAGCCAUGGCCCACAUCCUAUCAUCUGCAGAGUGAGAAGACAAGAUGAAGUGACAGCAAGUCACUUCCCACGAUCAGUUUUACGUGAUCACUUCCCACAAUCUUUGACAGCCGCAUCACCUACCAUGGUUUCUGACAGCCGCUCGUAGGGUGAUGAUGCUCCUACUGACGCCUAUUAUCAUCAUAACAACAUAAAAUAUCUCCUCACCAUUAAUGAGGAGGACAGUACCCCUGAAGCUGUUUAUAUAAGCCUUCACACGAAGAAGAAGGGGAUCAUCCUGGUAACCUCCUAAUACCUGGUAAAGGGCCAACUGAUUUAUAUCUCUCUCUGACCAUGGCUAACAAAACCAUCGGAGGGUGCGUCCGGACACCCUGUCUGGAUGCCUUCUUGCAGGUAUAACGACUGGAUCAAGAACCUUUAUGAGUUGAAAUCACGUGUCCAUCCAUUUGGCAACUACGUGGAUCAUCAAAGACGCGAGGUAUCAACAAUUGUUAUUUUGAACCCGCUUUUCUGAUGGCAUAUCCACUCCGGAAUCCCAUUUCUUUCAGCAAUAAAAGUUCUGACAGGUCUUCUAAAGUCACGCGCCUGCACAAAAAUUACCCUCUGAAUUUUGUGUCCCCGUGAAAAGAAAGGUUAACUGAUGUAUGAAAACCAUAUCUGAAUUUUGGAUUUAAAACAUUUGAAUAAAGAAGACCACAGUAGAAUUGAUGGACAUCUAGAUAAAUUAAACCUGAUGGAAGUUCUGGAAUAUGUUGAAGCAUCUUGCAGUGACUCAAGUAAGAGAUAAUGAUACCAGUGAUGAUAGGUAAUAAAUUUCACUGGGAAAUUCCCUUAGAUUGCAGCCUUGAAGCUUUAAUGUCCUCAAGGAGCAUAAACCGGACAAAGACGGCAAUGGAAAAUUCAUUGAAUCUAAAUGCCCAACAAUAAGAUGCUCUAAAGAUUGCAGUCUCCCCAAGUUGUCUGGCAAUUUGUUGAAGUUUGGACAGCUUCUGAUAAAGAGAGUUUUAAAAGAUGUCAAAUUACAAAUACUCUCAGGAAGAUUCACAAGGUUUUUGCAUUGUGACAGAAACAAAGAUUGAAGCUCUCUUAGAUGUUGAAUUGAUGAUGGUAUCUCUUUUAUGGCGGUUCUAUCUAAAUAAAGAUUUCUCAAGCUCUCCAUAUCUUGCAGGAUUUCUGGAAAGCUCUCUAGUUGUGAACAGCCAGAGCAGGAGAGAGUUGCAAGGGAUUUGAAAUCAAAAAUGCUACUGGGCAGACUAGUAAGAUUGUUGCAAUCCUGAAGACAUAAACUAUCAAGUUCCAAGGGAUUCUCGAUAAUGGGUACUUCAUUCAUAUCACUGCCCUUAAAACAGCACUUCCGUCGAAGCGUCCCAUCCCGUUGGCAUGCCCGACAUAUUCUAACAUCUGCAUCCUCAUGGCUUUGUUGAAGGUCUUGGGAGUAUAUAAGGCGGACUCCACACUCCUUUACUUUCAAGGCUUUCUCAGAAUUACUGUAAAAGUCGUAAAAGGUAAACCCAAUGUGAGUCCAUUGAUCAGAGCAAUACCUUUCCGGAAUAGCCGCCUUGGUAUAGCAAAUCACCCACGUCUGACCUGAUACACUCUCAUUAUCUUCGUCCUUGUCUUCUUUAUAGCAAAAACAAUUGGAUUGAAAGCAAGGACGAUCUAAAACUUCACGUCCAUCACCAAUCAUAGCCAAAGUACACAUCAGACUACAAGAACGUGUAUGUUUAUGUUCAUUCUUACGAAAAGAUUCAGCCACAGAUUUAUCGUCUGUUUCAUUCUCCCAUGCAUAAGCAGAUUCAUCCUUAGAUUUAUUGUCUGAUUCAUUCUUGGACCCGUGUGCAGAUUCCUUUUCGGGUAUGUCCUCAGAUUCGUAAGCAAGUGGAACAUAAACACAGCAUGUAGAAAAUCCCAAAAACUCAUUAUUUUGGUGCCAAUUCUGAGGGAGCUCUGUUUGUGUAAAAUAUAUAGUUGUCCGAUCCAUAAUCCAUUCUGGAAUUCCAUCACUUCCGGGAAGAACAAUGCAAGUUCCCUUGCCAUGGUAGGAAGAAUCACUAAAACUAGUGCGUUUCGAAUCCUGCACCAAAGCACCAUGUAAAUAUAGUAAAUAUAGAGUUUGCAUAUAACUAGUUGUAGGGAAUUAAACCGAAUUCCCAACCCAUGAGAAACAAAAAAAUAGAGAAAACACACGCCAAAGAAAAACAAUCACACACACAAGACAAUAUUUACGUGGUUCGGCAAUUUGCUUACGUCUACGGAGUUGCAGGGAUAUCACUAUUAUCAGGGAAGAAUACAGAGUACAACCUAGCUGCUACAAUAUUCUCUCUAUAUAUAUAACACGACAACCCCAUCACACUAAAAAACCCUAAUUACAAAAGGUGGUUCCACAAUGGGCUAAAAGAGCCCAACAGGCCUCAAUAAAUCUCCCAUUAAAAAGACAUGCAAUAUUAUUCGGGUCGGGUCGUCAAAUCGGAUCAAACAAAACUAGGCUCCACAAAGCCCAACAAAUCUCCCACUUGGAGACUAGUCCAAUCACCACAUCAAACCGCUAUCCUCCAAGAAACAAUCCCUCAUCCCUACAACUUAUCCUCCUGUCCUCAAGCUAGAAGACCAAUUGAAGCUGCGCAUAGCUUCAACUUCUCAAUAGUGACACCCUUAGUCAACAUGUCUGUCGGGUUCUUAGAUCCACAAAUCUUCUCAAGUAUUACCAGUUUAUCUUCAACAAAAUAACGGAUAAAGUGGUAUUUUGUUUGUAUAUGCUUCAACUUUGAAUGAAAAGCCGAUUUUUUUGCAAGAAAAAUUGCACUCUGACUGUCACUGUGUAGAAUGCCCAUCUCCUGCUUCUUACCCAAUUCAUCUAAGAAAACAUGUAGCCAAAUCAUCUCCUUUCCAGCUUCAGUUGCUACAACAUACUCAGCUUCUGUGGUAGACAAAGUAACAAUCUUCUGUAGAUUUGAAGCCCAUGAUAUAGCUGUACCACCUAGAGUAAAAACAAACCCAGUAGUACUCUUUCUACUAUCAAUAUCACUAGCAAAAUCAGCAUCUACAUAACCCUGCAAUUUCAAACUUGCACCUGUGAAGCAAAGACAUGUAUCUAAUGAACCCUUCAGAUAUCUUAAAAUCCACUUGACUGCCUCCCAAUGCUGCUUUCCAGGCCUACUCAUGAAUCUGCUCACAACUCUCACUACAUGUGCAAUGUUUGGCCUUGUACACACCAUAGCAUACAUCAAGCUACCAAUAGCUGAGGCAUAGGGCACCUUGCUCAUAUGGUCCCUUUCUUCUUCUGUCUUUGGUGACUGUUCUUUGCUUAGUUUGAAAUGACUACCCAAGGGUGUGCUCACUGGUUUAGCUUCAUUCAUGUUGAACCUGCUGAGAACUUUCUUCACAUACUCUGACUGUGAAAGCUUCAAUGUACCAUUAGCCUUGUCUCUAAUGAUUCUCAUACCAAGGAUUUGCUUUGCAGCUCCCAAAUCCUUCAUUGCAAAUUGUUUGGACAAUUGCUUCUUCAUAUUAUUAAUCUUCUCAAUGUCAGACCCUACAAUAAGCAUAUCAUCCACAUACAAUAGUAAUAUGAUGUAAAAAUUGUCAAAGGACUUAACAUAGCAACAAUGAUCAGCUUUACAUCUCUUGAACCCAAUUCUAUGCAUAAAAUUGUCAAACUUCUUGUACCACUAUCUAGGAGCUUGUUUAAGGCCAUACAAGCUCUUUCUCAGUUUGCAGACUAGAUUCUCUUGUCCCUGAACAAUGAACCCUUCUGGCUGAAUCAUGUAAAGGUCUUCCUCCAAGUCACCAUGAAGGAAUGUUGUCUUCACAUCUAACUGCUCAAGAUGUAAGUUUUCUGCAGCCACCAUUCCAAGUACAAGUCUAAUUGUUAACAUCUUCACAACUGGAGAAAAUAUCUCUGUGUAGUCAAUGCCCUCCUUCUGCUGGAACCCUUUAACAACUAAUCUGGCCUUGUAACGUUUGCUACCAUCAUGCUCAUUCUUUAUUCUGUAUACCCACUUAUUGUGCAAAGCCUUCUUUCCUACUGGCAAUUCAGUCAGUUCCCAUGUCUGAUUCCCUAAUAGGGAAUCCAUCUCAUUCUUCAUGGCUAACUCCCACUUGCUUGAAUUCUCAUCUUGCAAGGCUUCAUCAUAACACUCUGGCUCACCACCAUCAGUCAACAAGAGAUAAUUUAAAACAGGUGAAUAACGUUGCGGAGGUCUAAUGUUCCUAGAAGAUCUGCGAACUUCAGCUACAGGUGUACUCAAAUCUACCUGUGAAUUUACAUUUUUCUUAUCUCCUUCACCCCCUUUUUGGACAGUACUUUCAGUCAAUUCAUCUAAGUUGACAAACUCAGAUUUCUUUUGAUCUAUCUCUAUAAUAUCUGACACUACAGUUGACCUGUCCUUGUACAUAACCUGUUCAUUAAAUAUCACAUUUCUACUUCUGAUGAUUUUCCUAUUUUGUUCAUCCCAAAACCUAUAGCCAAAUUUCUCAUCACCAUAGCCAAUGAAAAAACAUAUUUUUGACUUUGCAUCAAGUUUACUACGAGCAUCAGAAUCAAUAUGAACAUAAGAAACACAACCAAAAACUUUUAAAUGUGAAAACUUCACCUCUUUACCGCUCCAAACCUCCUUAGGAAGUCUGAACUCCAUGGGAACUGAUGGUCCUCGGUUUAUUAGGUAAGCUGCAGUGCUAACAGCAUCAGCCCAAAAAGUUUUUGGUAGUCCAGCAUGCAACCUCAUACUUCUAGCACGCUCAUUGAGAGUUCUGUUCAUGCGCUCAGCCACACCAUUUUGCUGUGGUGUCCUAGGAAUGGUCUUCUCCAUCCUAAUUCCCUGUGCAGCACAAUACUCACUGAACCCUCCAUCUAUGUACUCUCCUCCAUUAUCUGACCUCAAACAUUUUAUUUUCAAAACUAUUUCUGUCUCAACCAUGGCCUUUCACUUCUUAAAAGUUUCAAAUACAUCUGAUUUAUUUUUCAGAAAAUAAACCCAUACCUUUCUACUUGAGUCAUCAAUAAAAGUGAUCUAGUACCUUGAACCUCCUAGGGAUGCAACCGGAGAAGGCCCCCACAAAUUAGUGUGCACUAGUUCCAAUUUUUCAGCCUUCGGUGUCCUGCUAGUUUUCAAGAAGCUCACAUUUUUUUGCUUUCCUAAGAUGCAACUUUCACACAUGUCAAAAUCAAUGGACUUCAAUUCUGGUAGUUUUCCUUUUAACAACAACAUCUUCAUCCCUUUCUCACUCAUGUGACCAAGUCUGCGGUGCCAUAGGCUUGUAUCAGUACUUGCAUCAGCAACUGCAAUUGUGUCUCUUGGACAUGAGGUCAUAUACAGAGUACCAGUCUUCUUUCCACGAGCCAAUACCCUAGCUCCCUUUGUAACCUUCCAAGUACCACCAACAAAUAGUAUUGCAUGUCCAUCAUCAAGUUGUCCAAUAGAAAUCAGAUUCCUCCUCAGGUCAGGAAUAUGUCGAACCUUCUCCAGUAACCAAACAGACCCAUUGGGCAACGAUAUCCGGACGUCUCCCAGACCCACAACAUCCAAGGCUGAACCAUCAGCCAAAUACACCUUACCAAAAUCACCUGCAAUGUAAUUCUGUAUGAUUUCUCGGUGUGGAGUAGUAUGAAACGAAGCUCCUGAAUCCAAAACCCAAUCAUCAAGUGGACUGUCUACUGUAAGAAGUAAUGCAUCCUGUACCUCUUCUGUUACAGCAUUAGCAGAAUCAUCUUCAUUCUUCUUCUUAGGGCUUUUGCAUUGCCUUUUAAAGUGACUUGUUUUCCCACAAUUCCAGCAUUGUACUUGUUGGCCUGAUCUAGAUUUGCUUCUGUUUCGAUUAGAAUUUCUGGAAUUUGAUCUACCCCGAUUUGAAUUUCUGUCAUUACCUUUGCCUCUUGUCUCAAGGUUUAGGGCAGAACCAGAUCCUGAGGUUUCACCUGCAUCUCUUCGGCGAAUCUCCUCAGCCAGAAUUAAAUCUCGUAUAUCAUUGUACUUGAGCUUUUCCUUUCCCGUAGAAUUGCAUACUACCAUCCUCAUUGCCUCCCAACUGUUUGGCAAAGAAGCCAAGACGAUCAGAGCACGAAUCUCAUCAUCAAAAUCAAUUUCUACAGACGACAAUUGAUUUGUGAUUGUAUUAAAUUCAUUCAGAUGUUGUGCUACUGAUGCAUUCUUUGCCAUCUUCAAAUUGAACAAUUUCUUCAUCAGAUGCACCUUAUUGUUUGCGGACGGCUUUUCAUACAUACCGGACAAAGCCUUCAUCAAAUCUGCUAUGGUCUUCUCCUUUACAACAUUAUGUGCAACAGACUUAGACAGAGUUAACCUAAUAAUUCCUAGAACCUGUCUGUCAAGAAGUGCUCAUUCCUCAACCUUCAUACUCUCAGGUUUUGUCCCCAAAAGAGGCAGAUGCAAUUUCCUCCCAUAGAGAUAAUCUUCAAUCUGCAUCCUCCAAUACGCAAAGUCUGUGCCAUCAAACUUUUCUAUUCCAGACGCCUUUCCUGCUUCCUCUGCCAUUGCUCCCACUCAAACCUAACCCUAGGCUCUGAUACCAGUUGUAGGGAAUUAAACCGAAUUCCCAACCCGUGAGAAACAAAAAAAAAUAGAGAAAACACACGCCAAAGAAAAACAAUCACACACACAAGACAAUAUUUACGUGGUUCAGCAAUUUGCCUACGUCCACGGAGUUGCAGGGAUAUCACUAUUAUCAAGGAAGAAUACAGAGUACAACCUAGCGGCUACAAUAUUCUCUCUAUAUAUAUAACACGGCAACCCCAUCACACUAAAAAAACACUAAUUACAAAAGGUGGUUCCACAAUGGGCUAAACGAGCCCAACAGGCCUUAAUAAAUCUCCCAUUAAAAAGCCAUGCAAUAUUAUUCGGGUCGGGUCAUCAAAUUGGAUCAAACAAAACUAGGCUCCACAAAGCCCAACACUAGUGUGUGACAUGAAAAUCAUACCUAUGCCCAACUGAAGCAAUUGACCAAAGAAUGCAAUGACAAAAAUGGGGCUCUUGAUGAAGUGCGAUUUGAACCGUGUGCAUCUAAAAGCCGUAGACGUGAUGGAAGCUCUGGAAUUUGUUCAAGAUUGCUGCAGUGACUAAGGUUAAGGGUUUUCAGCCUGGAAAGCUGAUUGAUGGUAGGAGGCAUGCUACUAAAAUGGCCCCCUUCCAGAUUUAGUUUUUGUAAUGAUGAUAAAUAGCAAAUAUCACUAGGAAUUCCUCCUUCCAUCAUGUUGCAGAGACCUAGGUCCAAUACUUUCAAUGAUGAUAAGUGGCAAAUAUGAC